GUAGUUAAUCCAUCAGAAGCACCAUCUCGUGGCACUGACCAUACAUUGUUAGCAACCAAGAGCUAAACAAACACCACACAAAAUAGAAGGCCAAUGCUGAUCAUAGUACCAACAGCGGCUGGUCUUUCGCAAGCACCACAUUAAAGUUUUCUGGGGUCGGUGUAACGGAACAUCGCAUUGCAAGCAAUACGGCACGACAAAAGGGACGAUGGACCUAGGAAGAAGCUUCACCAUCUAACACAUGUCGAGACGUCCAUUCGCUAGACCGUCAAUGCGAGAGCACAUCUAACCAACACACCGUGGUCCUGCAAUAACACAAGUUCAAGUAAGAGCCAAAUCGUGUACAACACAGGAGGUAGCCGACGAUAUAAAAGGUACCUAGCUGACACACCAAAAUAAUGAUCCACCUAGGGCCGUUUGGACUACAGCUUGGCCCUUUUAGUCGCAGACGUCUCAUCUUCAUCCUCCGCCAGGCUUUCAGUUGAUUUGCUUCAAGAACAAAUAACAAUUAUGUACAAGAAGUAGAAAAAUGAUGCAUAUAUUGUUAAAUACUCGUAUCAACCUACACCCAGAUACCUCAACGUAGCAGCAAGCUCACCACCGAGACCAGCAGAGUGUAAUUCAGUUUUUCGAGCCCCUGGCAGGCAUAAACGGAUAUUCCUUGUCAACUUACCAUCAAACAACUAUGUGAAUAGGUUUGGAUGUAUUUUUGAUGUCUACUACACAACCUUCUUCUUGUAGACGUUGUUGGGCCUGCAAGUGCAUAGGUUUGUAGGACAGUAGAAAAUUUCCCUCAAGUGGAUGACCUAAGGUUUAUCAAUCCGUAGGAGGUGUAGGAUGAAGAUGGUCUCUCUCAAACAACCCUGCAACCAAAUAACAAAGAGUCUCUUGUGUCCCCAACACACCCAAUACAAUGGUAGAUUGUAUAGGUGCACUAGUUCAGCGAAGAGAUGAAGAUACAAGUGCAAUAUGGAUGGUAGAUAAAGGUAUUUGUAAUCUGAAAUUAUAAAAACAGCAAGGUAACAAGUGAUAAAAGUGAGCAUAAACGGUAUUGCAAUGAUAGGAAACAAGGCCUAGGGUUCAUACUUUCACUAGUGCAAGUUCUCUCAACAAUAAUAACAUAGAUAGAUCAUAUAACAAGCCCUCAACAUGCAACAAAGAGUCACUCCAAAGCCACUAAUAGCGGAGAACAAACAUAGAGAUUAUGGUAGGGUACGAAACCACCUCAAAGUUAUUCUUUUGGAUCGAUCUAUUAAAGAGUUCGUACUAGAAUAACACCUUAAGACACAAAUCAACCAAAACCCUAAUGUCACCUAGAUACUCCAUUGUCACCUCAAGUAUCCGUGGGCAUGAUUAUCCGAUAUGCAUCACACAAUCUCAUAUUCAUCCAACCAACACAAAGUACUUCAAAGAGUGCCCCAAAGUUUCUACUGGAGAGUUAAGAACGUGUGCCAACCCCUAUGCAUAGGUUCAUGGGCGGAACCCGCAAGUUGGUCACCAAAACAUACAUCAAGUGGCACAUGAUAUCCCAUUGUCACCAUAGAUAAACACGGCAAGACAUACAUCAAGUGUUCUCAAAUAAAGACUCAAUCCGAUAAGAUAACUUCAAGAGGGAAACUCAAUUCAUCACAAGAGAGUAGAGGGGGAGAAACAUCAUAAGAUCCAACUAUAAUAGCAAAGCUCGGGAUACAUCAAGAUCGUGCCAUAGAGGGAACACGAGAGAGAGAGAUCAAACACAUAGCUACUGGUACAUACCCUCAGCCCCGAGGGUGAACUACUCCCUCCUCGUCAUGGAUAGCGCCGGGAUGAUGAAGAUGGCCACCGGUGAUGGGUUCCCCCUCUGGCAGGGUGCCAGAACGGACUCCCGAGAGGUUUUUGGUGGCUACAGAGGCUUGCGGCGGCGGAACUCCUGAUCUAUCUUGAUAUUCGAUGGUUUUAGGGUACGCAGGCUUAUAUAGGCAAAAGAAGUCGGUCGGGGGGUGCUCGAGGGGUCCACGANNNNNNNNNNNNNNNNNNNNNNNNNNNNNNNNNNNNNNNNNNNNNNNNNNNNNNNNNNNNNNNNNNNNNNNNNNNNNNNNNNNNNNNNNNNNNNNNNNNNNNNNNNNNNNNNNNNNNNNNNNNNNNNNNNNNNNNNNNNNNNNNNNNNNNNNNNNNNNNNNNNNNNNNNNNNNNNNNNNNNNNNNNNNNNNNNNNNNNNNNNNNNNNNNNAUCUUCUGACGUGAACUCCAAGUCUCCAGGAUGAUAAUCUUCCAAAAAAAUCAUGUUGCCGAAGGUUUCAUUCCGUUUGGACUCCGUUUGAUAUUCCUUUUCUUCGAAAUACUGAAACAUGCAAUAAAACAACAAUAUGGGCUGGGCCUCCGGUUAAUAGGUUAGUCCCAAAAGUAAUAUAAAAGUGUAUAAUAAAGCCCAUAAUCAUUCAAAACAGAUAAUAAAAUAGCAUGAAUGCUUCAUAAAUUAUAGAUUCGUUGGAGACGUAUCAGCAUCCCCAAGCUUAAUUCCUACUCGUCCUCGAGUAGGUAAAUGAUAAAGAAAGAAUUUAUGAAGUGUGAAUGCUAGAAGGUGCGCAAGUUUGAUCAAUGAUAAUUUCAAUCACCUUUACUAGCAUCAUUAUAUGUCAUAACAGUAGUUCAUCUUAUAAAACUUUUAAUGAUCAAGUAACAAGCAAUUCACAUGUUAAAGCAUAGACCAUAAACUUUCUUGAAAGCUAGCAAACUUCAUUCUUAGUCAUCAAAACAAUUGCAAUUCAUCCUAUUUUCAGGAAGGGUCUAUGUCAGAGCUUUAAUUUAGCAAACUUCACAUACUCAACUAUCAUAUAGUCUUCUACAAUUGCUAACACUCAUGCAAUACUUGUGGUUAUGAAGUUUUAAUCAGACAUAGAGAAAUAUUGGGGCUUAUAAUGUUGCCUCCAAACGUAUUCACCUUUGGGCGAUGUCAACAAUAAUAGUUCAUGCUAACGUACAUCCAAUUGGAUAUAUAUAUAAGGAUCACCCCAACACAAAGUGCUUGCCAAAGGAUAAAAUGGAAAAGGGAAAGGUGAAGAUCACCUUGACUCUUGCAUAAAGUAAAAGACAUAAAGUAAAAGAUCGUCCCUUCGCAGAGUGAAGCAGAGGUUGUCAUGCGCUUUUAGGGUUGGAUACACAAAAUCUUAAUGCGAAAGAACGUCACUUUAUAUUGCCCCUUGUAUAUGGACCUUUAUUAUGCAGUUCGUCGCUUUUAUUGCUUCCAUAACAAGUUCGUACAAAGCUUAUUUUCUCCACACUAAUAAGUCAUGCAUAUUUAGAGAGCAAUUUUUAUUGCUUGCACCGAUGACAACUUACUUGAAGGAUCUUACUCAAUCCAUAGCUAGAUAUGGUGGACUCUCAUGGCAAAACUGGGUUUAAGGAUAUUUGGAAGCACAAGUAGUAUCUCUACUUGGUGCUAGGAAUUUUUGGCUAGCAUGAGGGGGAAAGGCAAGCUCAACAUGUUUGAAUGAUCCAUGACAAUAUACUUUAACUGAGAUGUGAGAAAACAUAACCCAUUACAUUAUCUUCCUUGUCCAACAUCAACUCUUUAGCAUGUCAUACAUAAUGAGUUCUCACAAUUGUAAAAGAUGUCUAUGAUAAUAUAUUUAUAUGUGAAAUCUCUCUUCCUUCAAUAUUCUUUCAUGAAUUGUUCAAAUGACUAAUACAAUGCUUGCUAAUCGUCAAUAAAUUUACAACCUCUACUUCUUAGAUGUGAAGUCAUUACUCCCCAUGGGAUAAGCAAAUGAAACAUAUAUAAAUUCAGAUUUAUGACAUUCAACUCAUUCAACAAUUUACUCAUAGGAUAUACGUGAAGCACACGAGUAAAUCAAAAGCUACUCCAAAAAGAUAUAAGUGAAGAUCGAUGAGUAGCUAAAUAAUUAUGCAACUAUGUGAAGACUCUCUCUCAUUAAAGAAUUUUAGAUCUUGGUAUCUUAUUCAAACAGCAAGAAAACAAAAUAAAAUGACAUUGCAAGGAUAGAACAACUCAUGUGAAGAAGCAAAAAACUUAGUCUCAACCGAUACUAAUCGAUAGUUGUUGAAGAAGAAAGGUGGGAUGCCUAACAGGGCAUCCCCAAGCUUAGAUGCUUGAGACUUCUUGAAAUAUUAUCUUGGGGUGCCUUGGGCAUCCCCAAGCUUGAGCUUUUGUGUCUCCUUAAUUCCUCUCAUAACUUGGUUUCUUUUUAUCAAAAGCUUCAUUCACAACAAACUCAACAAGAACUCAUGAGAUAGGUUAGUAUAAACCAAUGCAAAACCUUAUCAUUUUCUACUGUAACAAAUCACUAAAAUUAUUAUUCAACAUUGCAUACUAAAUGCCUCUUCAUAUUUAAUACUCCUAUCCUCAAAUAGAAUCAUUAAACAAGCGAACAUAUGCAAACAAUGCAACCAUAACAGCAAUCUGCCAAAACAGUAUAGUCUGCAAAGAAUGCAAGAUUCAUAAUACUUCCCUCACUCCAAAAAUUAUGAGAAAAAUACUACGCUGUAGAAGAUUUGUCAGAGCUCAAUAUGCAAAAAGAUUCAACAUCAUACCAUUCUCUAACUUUUCUAGGGAAUUUUUGCAACAGCGGUAAACUUUCUGUUUUCAAACAGCAACAUGUAUACUAGCAAAAUAAGCAUGGCAAAGGCUAUCCUUGACAUUUUUAUUGAAACUAAAGAUGCAAAACAUUAAUCUAAAUAACAUCAAGCGAAUACUAACAAAAGCAAAUGACGCUCCAAGCAAAACACAUAUCAUGUGGCGAAUAAAAAUAUAGCUCCAAGUAAAGUUACCGAUGAACGAAGACGAAAGAGGGGAUGCCUUCUGGGGCAUCCCCAAGCUUAGGCUCUUGCCACUCCUUAUUCCAUAGUCCAUCGAAUCUUUACCCAUAACUUGAAAACUUCAACCACACAAAACUCAAAACAGAACUCGUAAGCUCCGUUAGUAUAAGAAAAUAAAACCACCACUUAGGUACUGUAAUGAACUCAUUCUAAAUUCAUAUUGGUGUUAAACCUACUGUAUUCCAAGUUCUCUAUGGUUCAUACCCUCCGAUACUACUCAUAGAUUCAUCAAAAUAAGAAAACAACACAAUGAAAACAGGAUCUGUCAAAAACAGAACAGUCUGAAGUAAUCUGUAUCAAACGUAUACUUCUGGAAUCCCAAAAAUUAUGAAAUAAAUAGCUGGACCUGAGGAAUUUGUCUAUUAAUCAUCUGCAAAAAGAAUCAACCUAAAAUCACUCUCCAGUAAAAAAAUGGCAGCUAUUCUCGUGAGCGCAAAAGUUUCUGUUUUUUAUAGCAAGAUCAUAUAGACUUCACCCAAGUCUUCCCAAAGGUUCUACUUGGCACUUUAUUGAAACAAAUGCUAUAAAACAUGAUUACUAAAGUAGCAUAAUCAUGUGGACACACAAAAACAGUAAGGGUAAAUAUUGGGUUGUCUCCCAACAAGCGCUUUUCUUUAAUGCCUUUUUAGCUAGGCAUGAUGAUGGCAAUGAUGCUCACAUAAAAGAUAAGAAUUGAAACAUAAUGGGAGCAUCAAGAAGCAUAUGACUAGCACAUUUAAGCCUAACCCACUUCCUAUGCAUAGGUAUUUUGUGAGCAAACAACUUAUGGGAACAAUAAUCAGCUAGCAUAGGAAGGUAAAACAAGCAUAGCUUCAAGAUUUUCAACACAUAGAGAGGAAACUUGAUAUUAUUGUAAUUCCUACAAGCAUAUGUUCCUCCCUCAUAAUAAUUUUGAGUAGCAUCAUGAAUGAAUUCAACAAUAUAACCAGCACCUAAAGCAUUCUUUUCAUGAUCUACAAGCAUAGAAAAUUUACUACUCUCCACAUAAGCAAAAUUCUUCUCAUUCGGAAUAGUGAGAGUAUCAUAAGAGACUUGAACACUAAAAAUUGUUUCCACAUUAAAAGAGUAAUGUUCAGAAAAAGGGUAAUCAUAAUCAUGACAAGUUUUAUAAAUAUCAUCAUCACUACUUUUUAUAGCAUAAGUUUCAUCACAAUAAUCAUCAUAAGUAGCAACUUCGUUCUCAUCAUAAUCGAUUGAAACCUCUCCCAAGAUAGUGGAAUCAUCACUAAAUAAAGUUGACACUCUUCCAAAUCCACUUUCAUAAAUAUUAUAAGAUUCAACAUCCUCCAAAAUUGUGGGAUCACUACUUCCGAAAGUUGACACUCUUCCAAACCCACUUUGAUCAAUAUAAUCAUCAUAGGUACAAGGCAUGCUAUCAUCAUAACAACUUUGCAUAUGAAAACUUGGGAGGCUAAAAAUAUCAUCUUCAUUAAACGUAGCAUCCCCAAGCUUGGGACAAACAUUAAUUUCAGCAAAUAUAUUCUCAAAUAUUUCAUACUCAUAAAACAUAGCUUCCCCAAGCUUGGGUCCUUCCAUAUCAUAAGCAUAAUCACUCUCAUCGUUAAAAAUAUGGAUAGCACCAAUAGUAAAGCAAUUAUCAUCAUCACAAUAAGUAGUAGGAGCAACAUCAUUUGGGAGGGGUACCUUUUUACCUUUGUUGCUCCUUCUUUUCUUUUUCUUCUUCACAUUAUGUGUGGGUUCAACCUUCCUCUUUGAGCUCCUUAUAGAUGAGAUUGGUUGAAUAAAAAGCUCCUCCUCCUUACCUGGUUCAUCAUAAGAAAUAAUAGGAGGAUAUUGGGAAGUCUCUUUCCUUUCAUUAGUAUUCUCAUCAUCUUCUAUUUGCUUUCUUUUCUUUAGGUAAUUGGCAAUAUAAGGAUUUUCAAUGCAAUUCUCCGCACAAAACAUAUAAAUCUUUUCUAGAUCAAUAUCAAGGAAAUGCUUAAGAUUAAAUUCUGGAAUAGGCUUAGUUAAACGUUUCAACUCUUCAUAACCCAAAAGCAAUCUAAGUUCAUUGUAAUGAGAAAGGGAGACCAAAUCAUCACAAUUUUUGGACACGAUCCGAUCAUGAAACAAUUUGCAUUGGAGAUGUAAAUGAUCUUGUUUAUUGCAAAAUUCACAACGGGAAAGAUAUCUUAAAUUCUCCGCACUCUUAUCUAGACUUUCUUGCAACCUCUUAGUUUCUAAAUGCUUAUGCCUCUUGCAAUAAAUAUCUUCUAUAUUUGGUGUGUUCAUGCAAACAUGCACUCCACAAAAGUUGACAUGCUCAUAAGAGAUAUUUUCAUCAUGACUAGAGCAAUCAUCAUUAAUACUAUGGAUAUUCAACGAGUUUAUACUAACAACAUUGCAAUGAUGCUCAUCAUUCAAAGAUUUAGUACCAAGCAUUUUAAUGCAUUCUUCUUCUAGCACUUGAGCACAAUUUUCCCAUCAAACUCAUGAAAGAUAUUAAAAAUACGAAGCAUAUGAGACAAACUCAACUCCACUUUUUGGUAGUUUUCUUUCAUAAACUAAACUAGUGAUAAAACAAGAAACAAAAAGAUUCGAUUUCAAGAUAUAAAGAUAUACCUUCAAGCACUCACCUCCCCGGCAAUGGCGCCAGAAAAGAGCUUGAUGUCUACUACACAACCUUCUUCUUGUAAACGUUGUUGGGCCUGCAAGUGCACAUGUUUGUAGGACAGUAGCAAAUUUCCCUCAAGUGGAUGACCUAAGGUUUAUCAAUCCGUAGGAGGCGUAGGAUGAAGAUGGUCUCUCUCAAACAACCCUGCAACCAAAUAACAAAGAGUCUCUUGUGUCCCCAACACACCCAAUACAAUGGUAGAUUGUAUAGGUGCACUAGUUCGGCGAAGAGAUGAAGAUACAAGUGCAAUAUGGAUGGUAGAUAAAGGUAUUUGUAAUCUGAAAUUAUAAAAACUGCAUGGUAACAAGUGAUAAAAGUAAGCGUAAACGGUAUUGCAAUGAUAGGAAACAAGGCCUAGGGUUCAUACUUUCACUAGUGCAAGUUCUCUCAACAAUAAUAACAUAGAUAGAUCAUAUAACAAGCCCUCAACAUGCAACAAAGAGUCACUCCAAAUCCACUAAUAGAAGAGAACAAACGUAAAGAUUAUGGUAGGGUACGAAACCACCUCAAAGUUAUUCUUUCGGAUCGAUCUAUUAAAGAGUUCGUACUAGAAUAACACCUUAAGACACAAUCAACCAAAACCCUAAUGUCACCUAGAUACUCCAUUGUCACCUCAAGUAUCCGUGGGCAUGAUUAUACGAUAUGCAUCACACAAUCUUAGAUUCAUCCAACCAACACAAAGUACUUCAAAGAGUGCCCCAAAGUUUCUACCGGAGAGUCAAGAACGUGUGCCAACCCCUAUGCAUAGGUUCAUGGGCGGAACCCGCAAGUUGGUCACCAAAACAUACAUCAAGUGGCACAUGAUAUCCUAUUGUCACUACAGAUAAACACGGCAAGACAUACAUCAAGUGUUCUCAAAUAAAGACUCAAUCCAAUAAGAUAACUUCAAGAGGGAAAUUGUAUUCAUCACAAGAGAGUAGAGGGGGAGAAACAUCAUAAGGUCCAACUAUAAUAGCAAAGCUCGGGAUACAUCAAGAUCGUGCCAUAGAGGGAACACGAGACAGAACACGAGAGAGAGAGAUCAAACACAUAGCUACUGGUACAUACCCUCAGCCCCGAGGGUGAACUACUCCCUCCUCGUCAUGGAUAGCGCCGGGAUGAUGAAGAUGGCCACCGGUGAUGGGUUCCCCCUCCGGCAGGGUGCCGGAACGGACUCUCGAGAGGUUUUUGGUGGCUACAGAGGCUUGCGGCGGCGGAACUCCCGAUCUAUCUUGAUAUUCGAUGGUUUUAGGGUACGUAGGCUUAUAUCGGUGAAAGAAGUCGAUCGGGGGGUGCUCGAGGGGUCCACGAGACAGGGGGGCGCGCCCAGUAGGGGGCGCGCCCCCUAUCUCCUGGGCUCCUCGAGUAUCUUCUGACGUGAAAUCCAAGUCUCCAGGAUGAUAAUCUUCCAAAAAAUCACGUUGCCGAAGGUUUCAUUCCGUUUGGACUCUGUUUGAUAUUCCUUUUCUUCGAAAUACUGAAAUAGGCAAUAAAACAACAAUAUGGGCUGGGCCUCCGGUUAAUAGGUUAGUCCCAAAAGUAAUAUAAAAGUGUAUAAUAAAGCCCAUAAUCAUUCAAAACAGAUAAUAAAACAGCAUGAAUGCUUCAUAAAUUAUAGAUACAUUGGAGACGUAUCAAUUUUCACCAAGCAAACAAAAGGAAAUACCUGAGCACAGCCAUCGGGAAACAAGGGUUUACACAACACAGACUUAGGUAGACCACUUGCUGGCACUCUCUUUAUACCAACAUUGCAGGUCACAGACCCAACAAAUUCACAUCACAUAUCUAGAAUCGUUUGUUUACGCCAUCUUGGAUCACUUUUGUUGGAACAACUCAUACCUUUUGUUGACUGAGGCCGGGGAAGAAUUACUCUUCUUUCCUUCAGGGAUGGUAAGUUCAUAGAAAAAAAAUACACGCGGCAGUUCGGUAGAUCAAUACGGUCAAGGCAAAUGCAUAGUUGUUGUCUGUCCCUGGAAGACAAUCUUUUCUAUAGGAGAGAACUUGCCCUGGAGCCUUUAGCAAUAAGAUCGAGAACAGAAGCAUAUGACCAAAUCAGGCAAAGGACAACACAUAAUUAGCGGAGAUAAACGGAUAGCAUGUACCUCUUAUGGAAGUCUAUCAUCUCAGAAAUGUCAUCAUUUAUGUACCACCGACACACUGCACUUCCCUCACACCCCUUCGACCUACAGACCGCAACCAAAGACAUAACACGUCACAUAAACAGACAUGGGCAAAGGAGUAGCCACCUAGUCAACCUAACAAGAGUUCUUACCUUCAUAGGCCUUCACGAGAGUUCCAACAAAUAGUGCAACCACUGGUUCAGUCGAGCCCAGCUCAAUAAUGUAGUCUCCCUGAAAGGUUGUAGCAUGUUCGCCCGAGAGCAGAACAGUUAUCUGGCACCCAUUGCACAAAAUAUAAACAAAAUAUACUGAAAGCAAUGGCAGGCUAAUAGAGACAACAACACAAACAGCAAGCACCUGACAUGGCAAGAUGGCAUACCUAGGUCCAUGAUAGUGAUACAAUGCUUUGUGGAAGGCUCGCUCCUGCUCGAGCUAUGAUACUGAACAACAUCGGAUACACCAGUGAUAACGCUGAGCACAUCUAGACAACCAGAGAAGAGGAAAACAUCUUACAGGCACACACAAUAAACAAAGGAAGACAAUGAUCGUGUAGGCAACACACCCGUGAAGAAUUUAGGUGUCUCGAGAGGUGAAGGGAGGCGUGACAGUUUAGUGAGCGAGUAGGUGCAGAAGGGAAACUGAGCUUCUGGAUCAGUAUUAGGAUCGACCGUAGUGAACCUAUUGAACCUGAUCAUGUGUAUCGCAUCGACAUGCUUGACAUAACAUUUGUUCAGGAACACCGAGAACUGUGAAAUUUCAUAUGCACAUCCUGCCUUCAGUUUUCCCAUAAACUUAGGCACAAGCUUCUCACCAAUCUCAACAUAGAUGUGGUUGCCCUGCCAAGAAACAACAUGCAUCAAUUACCAAGCAUAGAAGGCUGAAGAAAAUUACAACCAAUGCAGGUGCCGAGGCUGGAGAAAUCAUGUACCUAGGCAUCCAAAAGGACCAUGUCAGUGUGUUUGAUAGGACCAUCAUCAGCGUCUCCACAGUGCUGCCACAAACGCGAAACAUACACACAGAUGGUCAAGUUCCUGUCCCCGACAAUAAGAGACCGCAGACCAACCAUCACCAUCUACAACAAAAGGGUCAUCACCAAAACACACGACCACCGUUAAACUAAAUAAACCAGUAUGACAUAAGCCACGCCAAUACAUGCAAACACUCAAAGAAUCAACCCCACCACAUGAAACACACUUAUUCAGCCAUCGCCAAAUGCCGUGUAACAAGAUAUCGUCCAACUCACAAAAGCAUGCCACUGACUACCAAAAUGAAGACCAACGUCGUAUACAAACCUAGGCCAUCCCGGUGGCCCGAAAGACCUCAGGAAAAACAAUGUUUUUGGUCUCAGAACCAAAGUGGCCAUUAGCAUCUAAUAUAAGGAUUUUCAAAGAAGCUCUUGAAGUAACAUGAGACACUGCCACAUACAGCUGCCCGUGCUUAAAAACAUGACCCUUAAGAUAUAUGCCAACAGUAGACAGGGUCUGUCCUUGGCUCUUAUUGAUUGUCAUGGCAUAGCACAAACGAAUAGGAAACUGGCGUCGCUUAAGCACAAAGGGUGCGUUUCCUUUCUUCGCCAAUAACUCAAUCCUGGGGAUAGAAACGGUAUCACCCACAUUGGAGCCAGUCAUAAUAACAACCUUGAUAAGCCGGUCGCCCAAUUCUUUUACGAUCAGCCGUGUACCGUUACACAAACCAUUUGCCUGGCUAAGGUUUCUAAGAAGCAUAAUUGGAACACCAACCUUAAGAGUCAGCAUAUGGUUUGGGAAGUUCAUAAUUUUAGUUGCAUUCAGGUACUCAAGUGGAUAAUAAACUUCUUUGUCUCUAAGAGAAUCUGCAGAGUCGUCAAUAGAAUUAGCACUUAAAUAGUCCCUGCUAUCAGUAGGAACCAAUCUAAUAAUAUAGUCAUUAAUAUCCUCAGCAUGGUCGUUGGUAGGAGCUAAAAUGGCUCUCUCUUGGAAGUAGCCAGAGUUUAGGUAGUUGAGUAAAAAAUCACCAUAGACAGAAGAAACAAUAGCAGCUAUUGGGUCACCGGUCGUACGAACCAAGAAGUCGUCCGGUAUCUGUAUCCAAGAAGCCUCGACAUCAUCGCCUCGCUUUGUAACAGGCAUCUUCCCCUCUCCUAGAUCUAGAACCCAUCUGCUAAACAAGGCAACAUCCUGCCGCGCCUGAAUAUCCGCCCCAGGGACAAAUAAGCGCAUGUUAAUAGAAAGCGACAAUUUCCGAACAGAGCGCCAUAGCAGGGAAUUUGUGAUCGCUGCAUCAAUAAUUUGAGGCCUAGUACCUCCCUCAACAACCGUCAGUGUCAAAACCGGCGGAUCUCGGGUAGGGGGGGGGUCCCGAACUGUGCGUCUAAGGCUAAUGGCAACAGGAGGCGGGGGACACAAUGUUUACCUAGGUUCGUGCCCUCUCUAUGGAGGUAAUACCCUACUUCCUGCUUGAUUGAUCUUGAUGAAUACAAGUAUUACAAGAGUUGAUCUACCACGAGAUCGUAAUGGCUAAACCCUAGAAGUCUAGCCUAUGAGAUUAUGAUGGUUGUGGCUAAACCCUACAAGUCUAAACCCUCCAGUUUAUAUACACAUGGGGGGGCUAGGGUUAUAAAAAGUCGGUUACAAAGAAAGUAAUCUACAUAUCCGAAUCGCCAAGCUUGCCUUCCAUGCAAAGAAGAGUCCCAUCCGGACACGGGACGAAGUCUUCUAUCUUGCAUCUUCAUAGUCCAAUAGUCCGGCCAAAGUAUAUAGUCCGGUUGUCCGAGGACCCCUUAGUCAAGGACUCCCUCAGUAGCCCCUGAACCAGGCUUCAAUGACGAUGAGUCCGGCGCGCAGAUUGUCUUCGGUGUUGCAAGGCGGGUUCCUUAUUCGAAUACUUCAAAGUAGAUCUCGAACACAAGAAUCGUGUCCGGCUCUGCAAAACUAGUUCUAUAAACCACCAUAGAGAGUAUAAUAUUAACGAGUCCGACUCGCUGACAAUUUUGGCGGUACGACAUUACGUCAUUACCUGGCCAUUAUUUCGAAUCAUUUUCUAGCCUGCUACCCCAUGUUUCGGGGGGCGGUUUUUAUUGGCAUGUCUUGUCAAAGCAGAGAUCGUGUCCCCUUAUUACGGGAUUUUCAUAAACACCGGCGUGGGUAACCCAACCGUUCUGUUGGCAUAAUUCCUCGGGAAUAGGCAUGUUUUAAGGCCACAGAGGGGAUGCUUGAUAUUCGUCGCCUUUAUAAAGGGGUUAAGGCCUGUCCUUUUUCUUCCACGCUAGCUCUUUCCUUCACCCCCACCCCAAGUUCCAAUGCCCAAGGGUCAAUCUAGUUGCUUCGAGCUUCCAGCCAUGUCCGGACCUGGCCUUCCAGGCCGAUGGAUGGCCUCUUCUGUCACAGAGGAAGAUAUCUCAAAGCUCAGGGAGGUAAGAUACUUGACUGCGGAAAUCUACCACAUGCUUCCUCCUCAAGGGCAGGUUAUUCCUACUCCCAGAUCCAAUGAGAGGGUAGUGUUCAUCUCUCACUUCCUUCGAGGGCUUGGGUUUGCUCUCCAUCCCUUCGUUCGAGGGGUCAUGUUUUAUUACGGGCUAUAUUUCCACGAUCUAGCCCCGGACUCCUUCCUCCACAUCUCAGCGUUCAUCACCACGUGCGAGGCCUUCCUCCGUAUUUCCCCACACUUCGGCUUAUGGCUUAAGACCUUUAACGUGAAACCGAAGGUAAUCGACGGGAAACAAGCGGAGUGCGGAGGCACUUCAAUAAGCAAGCUUAUCAACUCCACUUGGCCAAAGGGAUCCUUCGCAGAAUCUUAUGACUUAUGGCAACGGGAGUGGUUUUACAUCACCGAACCCCAUGGUAAAAAGCGGGUAGCCACACCGGCGUUUCGGCCCAGCCCUCCGCCACAGCUCACAUCGUGGAUUAACAAGGGGCCAGACUAGGGAUCUGCUAAUGAAGUGCGGAUGCUGCAAAGCCGCAUUCAGAGCCUUAUUAAGAAGGGCACCAGUCUCAUUGAUGUAAUCCAAGUAAUGUUGGUCCGCCGGAUCCUACCCUGCCAGCGACGCCCUCUCCGCAUGUGGGAGUUUAAUCUGGAAGGUCCACGGACCCUUCAGCACCUUUCUGGCACGAUGCUCAGAGAGAUGUGGAAAUUGUUCUUCGGCGCACGAAAACAUUGCCGGAUACUACAAAAUACAUCGGCCUUGACUGCAACCAUCUGGAUACUCCGGUAAGUACUCGACCCCCAAACAUGAUUUAGUCAAAUUAUCCAUGACAAUGUGCUGAUAAAACUUUAUCCGGCCAGGGCUGGCUAAAGAAGGCGGAGAGAAUCAGGUGUUCGACUCCACUUCCCGAAGAUACCGCGGAUCCGUUAUUAACAAGGAUGCUGGCUCCGGCACCGUAUCAAGUGCCGGCGGGGGAAGAUAAAGAGGAGGACGAAGAGGCCCAAGGUAGCUUCCACUCUGGGGGCUCACCAGGCAAUUUGUCCUGGGAGAUUAGAACUCCCGCUUCCAAAGGUGGAAGGGAAGGGUGAAUUGACAUCCCUUCUCCCCAUGGGAAGAAAAGGGCCGCCUCCGAAGACUCGGAAAGAGAAGCUUCUAAGCGGGGGAAGGUAUCCCAGUCAAGGGGUGAUGUUGACACGCAAUCACCCCGUAAAGAUAGGCCCUCGGCCGCAUCGUAAGUGAAUCCAGGUGUUUUAAACAUGUCCCGUUCUUUCCUGGCUAUAAGGGUAAUAUUUUAAACUCAUGUUUGCAGUCCGGCACGCAGCCCUCCUCAACAGUCCUCCUCUCCGGGGGAUCUACUUCCGAAGAUGAUGGAGAGCGAGACGCCUCCAUAGAUAUCCUUGCCUGAUAAGGCAGAUGACGUCAAGGUGUCGUCCCGGAGGAUCCUUCUCGAUCUGCGAGUGGUUCAAGGGACAGUGAGGACUGGGGCCAAAGGUAAUACUUCGGCCACCUAGGGUCCAGGGUGUGCGGCCCAUACAGGGAACAACAAAAGUCCCGGACUAUCGAAUGUCCAAGGGACGCCGGAUACAUUGAUGGACAUUUUGCAACAUGCCUCCGUCUCAGAGGAACAUCAUACCUUGAUGGGUACGGUGUUGGAAAGAGUUUGGUCCGCAAGAAGCGGAUUGAAUGAAGACCUUUUCUAGCCUACUAAGAGGCUUUAAGGUACGUAGUGUAAUUUCAAUUAUGUUGUAAGUGCAAAUUGCACCUGUGUAUAGAUAGUAGCCCCUGAUACGUCUCCAACAUAUCUAUAAUUUUUUAUUGUUCCAUGCUAUUAUAUUACCCAUUUUGGAUGUUUAUGAGCUUUACUUUACACCUCUAUAUCAUUUUUGGGACUAACCUACUAACCGGAGGCCCAACCAGAAUUGCUGUUUUUUUGCCUAUUUCAGUGUUUCAAAGAAAAGGAAUAUCAAAUAGAGUCCAAACGGGAUGAAACCUUUGGGAGCGAUCUUUUUGGAACAAACGCAAUCCACGGGACUUGGAGUGGACGUCAAGCAACAGAGGAGGCGGCCACGAGGGUGCCCGGCGUGCCCUGAUGACCCACAAGUAUAGGGGAUCUAUCGUAGUCCUUUCGAUAAGUAAGAGUGUCGAACCCAACGAGGAGCAGAAGGAAAUGAUAAGCGGUUUUCAGCAAGGUAUUCUCUGCAAGUACUGAAAUAAGUGGUAACAGAUAGUUUUGUGAUAGGAUAAAUUGCAACGAGAAACAAGUAACAAAAGUAAAUAAAGUGCAGCAAGGUGGCCCAAUCCUUUUUGUAGCAAAGGACAAGCCUGGACAAUUCUUAUAAUAGGAAAAGUGCUCCUGAGGACACAUGGGAAUAUCGUCAAGCUAGUUUUCAUCACGCUCAUAUGAUUCGCGUUUGGUACUUUGAUAAUUUGAUAUGUGGGUGGACCGGUGCUUGGGUACUACUCUUACUUGGACAAGCAUCCCACUUAUGAUUAACCUCUAUUGCAAGCAUCCACAACUACAACAAAAGUAUUAAGGUAAACCUAACCAUAUCAUGAAACAUAUGGAUCCAAAUCAGCCCCUUACGAAGCAACACAUAAACUAGGGUUUAAGCUUCUGUCACUCUAGCAACCCAUCAUCUACUUAUUACUUCCCAAUGCCUUCCUCUAGGCCCAAAUAAUGGUGAAGUGUUAUGUAGUCGACGUUCACAUAAUACCACUAGAUGUUAGACAACAUACAUCUUAUCAAAAUAUCAAACGAAUACCAAAUUCACAUGACUACUAAUAGCAAGACUUCUCCCUUGUCCUCAGGAACAAACGUAACUACUCACAAAGCAUAUUCAUGUUCAUAAUCAGAGGGGUAAUAUUGUGCAUAAAGGAUCUGAACAUAUGAUCUUCCACCAAAUAAACCAACUAGCAUCAACUACAAGGAGUAAUCAACACUACUAGCAACCUACUAGCACCAAUCCCGGACUUGGAGACAAGAAUUGGAUACAAGAGAUGAAUUGCAGACAAGAAUUGGAUACAAGAAUUGGUUUAAGGGUAUUUGGAAGCACAAGUAGUAUUUCUACUUAGUGCUGAGAAUUGUCUAGCAUGAGGGGGAAGGGCAAGCUCAACACGGUAGAGGAACCAUGACAACAUACUUUAUCUCAGAUGUAAGAAAACAUAACUCAUUAUGUUGUCUUCCUUGUCCAACAUCAACUCUUUAGUAUGUAAUAUUUUAAUGAGUGCUCCCAAUCAUAAAAGAUGUCAAUGAUAAUAUAUCUAUAUGUGAUACCUCUCUUUCCUUAUUACUUCCUAUCAAUUGCAACGAUGACCAAAGCUAUAUUUGCCAACUCCCAACAACUUUAAAUCAUCAUACUCUUUCUAUGUGAAGUCAUUACUUUCAAUAAGAUCAAUAUGAACUCUUGACUCUUUUUAUUCCUUUUCUUCUAAUCACCCAAGAUCAUGGAAAAAUACUCAAGCCCUUGACUCAACACUAAUUUUUAUUAUAUAGCUCACGGACUCGAUUACAAAGAAGGAUCAUAAAGCAAAAUUCAAAACUAGACCAUGCCAUGACUUUAUUCUACUAAAUCAAGAUAUUACUAAUAAGAUCGAACUAAGAAAAACGGUAAAGAUAGGAGUUGUGAUGGUGAUACGAUACCAGGGCACCUCCCCCAAGCUUGGCAGUUGCGAAGGGGAGUGCCCAUAUCCAUGUGAUUAUGUCUCCUUCUUUGUUGUUGGGGGUGGAGGUGUUGUUGAUGAUGCAAGCUUGUCGUCCAUCUUCCAAGGCAUAGGCUCACCAUCAUAGAAGGAUGAUCGAGUCUCCAAAAUCCUCAAAUCUGCAGCCAAACUCAUCCUUUUGAAUCUAUAUUCAUACUCACAGUUUUGGUUUUGCAGAUCAUAGAUUUGGGCUUGGAGGUGCUAGAUCUUCUCAUGUAGCUUAUAUAUGGCUUCCUCGGUCUUCUUGGCAUCCGUCUCAUAGUUGUUAGUGAACUCCGCAAGCAUCUUGUGGGUAGCGUUGAUUCCACGCUCCACCAUCCCCUGGCACUUGAAAACUUGUUGCUCCAUAGCUUCCAGCCUCAACUCCACGCUUCCGGUUCCCUUUGGUCCCUCAACAUCGCGGAUGUGCAGCAAACCAUCAGGCAUCUCGAUGGUUUGAGGGUGUCGCAACACCUCCGCGAGGUAAGCGUUGAUGACCUUCUCGAAAAAUUUGUCCUUGGAAGCACUUGGGGUCGUCAUGAUGAUCUAGACCUGUCAGAAAAAUAGCUCGAAACAAGAAUAGGGGGGAUUUGCGUGAUAUGGGAGUCAAAACCUCCGGGAGUAUAUAUAAUGAAUUUUUACCGACCAAAAUAAGUAUCGUGCAAGGAAACGGAGUCCGGAGGGCACACGAGGUGCUCACGAGGUAGGGGGGCGCGCCUAGGGGGGCAGGGCGCGCCCUCCACCCUCGUGGAGGCCUUGUGUCCUCCCCGGACUGCUACUUAUUUUUCUAUUUUUCUAAAUAUUCCAAAACGGAGAAAUAUUGCCUUAAAAAUGUUUUGGAGUCAGUUUACUUACCGUACCACAUACCUAUUCCUUUUCGGAGUCUGGAACGUUCUGGAAAGUGUCCUUUAUGUACUCCUCCGGGGUUACGGUUUCAAUAAUAUCAGUUUCAACAUUUAUAGGAUUACGUGAGAUAUAGUGUUUGAUCCUUUGGCCGUUUACCACCUUCGGAUUUGUGCCUGCGAAGUUGUUGAUUUUUAUGGCACCAGAACGAUAGACCUCCUCGAUAACGUAAGGGCCUUCCCAUUUGGAGACAAGUUUUCCUGCAAAAAAAUCUUAAACGAGAGUUGUAUAGCAAUGCAUAAUCACCUACAUUAAACUCACGCUUUUGUAUCCUUUUGUCAUGCCACCUUUUAACUUUUUCCUUAAACAACUUGGCAUUUUCAUAAGCUUGGGUUCUCCAUUCAUCAAGUGAGCUAGUAUCAAAUAACCUCUUCUCACCGGCAAGUUUGAAAUCAUAGUUGAGAUCCUUAAUAGCCCAAUAUGCCUUAUGUUCUAGUUCGAGAAGUAAAUGACAUGCCUUUCCAUAAACCAUUUUAUACGGAGAUAUACCUGUCGGUGUCAAAACCGGCGGAUCUCGGGUAGGGGGUCCCGAACUGUGCGUCUAGGCGAAUGGUAACAGGAGACAAGGGACACGAUGUUUUACCCAGGUUCGGGCCCUCUUGAUGGAGGUAAAACCCUAUGUCCUGCUUGAUUGAUAUUGAUAUUGUAGAUGUUUACAAGAGUGGAUCUACCACGAGAUCAAGGAGGCUAAACCCUAGAAGCUAGCCUAUGGUAUGAUUGUAAUGGUUGUUGUUGUUCUACGGACUAGAGCCAUCCGGUUUAUAUAGACACCGGAGAGGGCUAGGGUUACAUAGAGUCGGUUACAAUGGUAGGAGAUCUACAUAUCCGUAUCGCCAAGCUUGCCUUCCACACCAAGGAAAGUCCCAUCCGGACACGGGACAAAGUCUUCAAUCUUGUAUAAUCAUAGUCUUGGAGUCCGGUCGAUGAUGAUAGUCCGGCCGAUGAUAGUUCGGCUGAUGAUGGUAGUCCGGCUAUUCGGACACCCCCUAAUCCAGGACUCCCUCAGUAGCCCCUGAACCAGGCUUCAAUGACGAUAAGUCCGGCGCGUAUAUUGCUUGGCAUUGCAAGGCGGGUUCCUCCUCCGAAUGAUAGAAGAUUGUGAACAACAGGAUAGUGUCCGGCUCUGCAAAAUAAAUUCCACAUUCCACCGUAGAGAGAAUAAUAUAUACACAAGUUCAAUCUGCUGACGUUUUUUGCGGCAUGAUGUCACGCCACUACCAAGCCAUUACUUGAAUCAUUUUUUACUCUACCACCUCAGCGCAUUUAGCGAAGCGGUUUCCUUGGCACGUCUUGUCAAAGCAGAGAUCGUGUUCCCCCUUAAUCCGGGAUUCUCAACAAUACGGACGUGGGUAACCCAACCGCGCCCGUCGCCACGCCCCCUCUAUCGAAGGCGAGUCCCAAACGGUCACGGAGACGGCUCUUGGUAUUCUCCCUCCUUAUAACGGGACCAAGGCUCGUUUCUUCUCUUCAAUCCUCCAUCGAAUCCUCUCCCUGCUCCAAGUUCCAGCAUCUAGAGCUCCAGAUUCGAGCGCUUCGGACCUUCAACGAUGUCCGGUUUCGACCUCCAGGGCCGGUGGCGGAGGAGGACGUGCUAAAGCUGCGGGAGGCCAAGUACCUGGCUUAUGAGAUUUCGCACAGGUUGCCUGCCAAAGGGCAGGCCAUCCCCACCCCCGAGCCCGGCAAGUAUGUCGUUUUUGUAUCCCACCUCCGUCGGGGUUUAGGCUUCCUGAUGGAUCCUUUUGUGAGAGGGCUCAUGUUUUACUAUGGGUUGGAAUUCCACGAUUUGGCUCUGGAGUCCAUCCUCCAUAUUUCCGCAUUUAUUGUUGUCUGCGAAGACUUCCUCCGCGUCACCCCUCACUUAGGCCUGUGGCUGAAGACCUUCAAUGUGGCGCCAAAGAUGAUCGGGGGGCGUCAAGCGGAGUGCGGCGGGGCGGCCAUAAGUAGGAGGGCCGAUGCCCCGUGGCCCGCUGGCUCCUUCCAAGAGGAGCUCGGCCCGUGGCAGCAAGAGUGGUUCUAUAUCACCAUUCCGAGGGGCCGCAGACAAAAGCCGCCGCCCUCAUUCCGCCCGGGACCUCCACGACGGUUGAUGUCGUGGGUCAACCAAGGGCUCAACUGGGGGCCGUCAAAGGACGUGCCCCUACUGUAGGGCCGGAUUCGAGAUCUCCAAACGAGGGAGGUCGAUAUGGUGGUGGUAAUGCAGGUUAUGCUGAUUAGGCGUCUCCCGCCCUGCAAACGCCGCCCUCUCCGGCUGUGGGAGUUCAAUCUGGAGGGCCCACGGAUUCUUCAACACUUCAUGGGUAUGACACCCCUGGAGAUGUACAAAUUAUUCUUCAGAUCACAAGAGGCGCGUCCGGAAUUGACCGAGGAUACUGGCCUAAGCUGCAAUCGCCCGGAUACUCAAGUAAGUAGUUCCAAGUCCGGACAUACCGUUUGUUUGCCUUUCGAUGAUUCGCCUUAUGACCAACUUCCUUCUAAACAGGAGUGGAUAGCGGAAGCAAAAUUGAUAUGGUGUCCGGCCCCCCUCCCCGAGACCGCGCAGGAUUCCGUGCUGGUCCGGAUGCUUGAGGUUGCGCCUCCAGAGGAAGGCGAAGGGGAAAACAGGAAAGCUACUGCCUCACCUAAGGAGGCUCUUGAAAGAGGGGGGAUCGAGAAUCCCUCCCUCCAAGGGGAGAAGAGGACUGCCUCCGAGGACCCGGGGGCAAAAGCCCCUAAACGGGGGAAGAAAUCUUCGCCAGAGGGCCCUGUGUCCGGGGAGGCCCCGGCCGCACAAUCUCCCUUUGAGAAUCAGCCCUCCAACGAGCCGUAAGUAUAAAGAAAGGAGUUUUAUAAUAAGGGACAUCCCUAUUUGUGCUUCUGAGGAUAACUAAAGUUUUUACCUUGUAGUUCGGAUCUCCAUCCUUCGCAAAUGAGCUCGUCUUCGGGGGACCUUCGUCCGGAGAUGAUGGAGAGCGAGACGCCUCCGUCCGGGGCGCCGUCAGAUAGGGCGGACGAGCCUGAAGUGUCAUCACGGAGGGAGCCCCCUGGUUUGGCAAAGCCGGAUAGUUCGGCGCCAACUGGUGUAUGGCUGAAGGAUCUGCUUGAGAAGGCGUCGAUCUCAGAAGAUCACCACGCAUUGAUGAGCAUGGUGAUUCAAAGGAUUUCGUCCGCCGAAGGCGGGUUGCAUAAUGCCAUCAGGAGUUUGCUGGCGGGGUUUGAGGUACGUAAAAAUGACACACCUUUUAACAGUUUUGCAUAUAGAAUGCGCCCUGUAUAGAUAGUAGCCCCUGAGACUCGGUAGGUUGUCGAAAUCGACAGCGUUCCGAGGAUCAAAAUCGCAGUGAUGCUUGGACAAAGAUGGAUGCCACCGCUGUUGCGACCCCGGGUUCGGACGAUAACCGGUUACCCGCCGAGCACUAUUUUGGCAAAGUGCUGCGUGGUGCUCAUGUAAUAGAGUCGCAGUGCUCAAAAAAUGUUAUGUUCGAGUGAACGUUUUUAUGAUGUAAGCGCCGUUUAUACUUGUGCGUUCAAGUAAUAGAAUAUCUCCUAUGCGGCCGUUCAUGUAUACGUGUGUAUAACCUGAAAGAUGGCAGUCGUCGGCUUCAGCCCCCACGCACAAGGUGCGGGGGUGUUCGCAAAAAAUAGCGCGUUUUCACACUUAAUCCGACGUCUCGGUCCUGUAAAGGAGGUGGUAGCGUAGCAAACGAGGCAACCGGACUAUAAUGCUUUAUCACUUUCACUUAGCCAUCGAGUUCGAGGGUGGGGCUACGACAUAGCCCCUGGGGGCACCGCGCUCUCCGAAUUUGGGGCGCGUGUGUGCCUGACCGGGAAACGGCCCUUCAUCAAAGCGGAGGAAUUCUAAACAUUCCCAUGGUCGAUCGAGUGGUUGACCAGUCUCUCGCUGUAUCAUGACAGUCAGUUUUCCGCUUUCUCUACUGAGGUGCUCGCCCAGCCGAACUGGGGCACAAUCGCAGUAGUUCUCCUGGUGCCGCGUUAGCCGAUGAUACGGAACGUAAGGCAGCAAAACACAGGAGCCGGGCAAACCCAACAUUUGACCAAAGACAUGAUUCGGAGCUGAUGCAUAUAAGGCCUAACUCGAGACGCCGAACACCCCCGAAGGUGUUCGGUCUUUACAAUAGCGGGCAAAACAAUGCCCUAAGCCCCUUGUGUCCAGGUACGGGCAAGUUCUUCUGGCGCGGCCGAUGCCAAAACGCCAGUCUCCACUCUGGUUAUAAUGAGAAGCCAGGGGAUUAUAGCAACAAAAGACAGUAAGAAAGGGUUACGUAGGGUCUUAGUCUGAAAAGAGUCCUUGCAACGGGUCCCUACUGCACGUCUGCGCCUGUGUCUCCGUUGUGCCGUAUCCUGGACGGGUGUGCACGCUGUUCAUCUGUAAAAAGAGAGGAACUUAGUUUGAAAAGAAAUCGUGCGAGAAAGUGCAUAAAAAAUUGAAAUAUAGAUUAAUAAAGCUGAGCCUAUGCUAGCUCAUCAUGGCUUAUAUGUACAAACCCUUGUGAAGGGGUGUGUGGCUAGGUAGCCCCUAGCUUAUUUAUUCCGGACUCGUCCAGCCGUGUCCGGGGUCUCAGGCGACCUUUUAAUGAAAUGAUGCCACGUGGACCGGGCAUUUUAAGCGUAAGAGACGCGUAAUGUGGUAUUGCAUUGAAGCGGACGAAAGCUUCCCGUCCCAGUGAUGCUUGAUAGCUACUUUUAAAUGGGGCGACAUGAAAGGUUAGCUUUUCUCGUCGGAAGUUGUCAGGUGACCCGAACACAACUUCUAGUAAUAAUGAAACUGUGCACCUGGCGUAAGGGCCUGGCGCCACUCCUUUGAAGGAAGUGCGGCUAUGCCGAAUUGUAGUAGGGUCUAUCCCAACUUGCGGAUUGUGUCCGGAUAUAGCAGGUUUAAGUCACUGCCGCCAUCCAUCAAAACCUGCGUGAAUUGCAGUCCGUCUAUUAUGGGAUCCAAUAUCAAGGCAGUCUAUCCUGCGUUCCGGAUACUUCUGGACUAAUCCAGAUGGUCGAAAGUGAUUGGUUUUGACAUCCAAUCUCGGUGUUCCGCUGGGGUGGACCGUGCGACACUUGUCUUAGCGAGUGCGGUGGUGGUUUUCCGUACUAUCACAUGGAGUGAGUUUACCGUUUUGACUUCUUGUGGGAAAGUAUUUUGACUUCCGGUGCUCUGCUGGUGGGGUUCGUCAUCGUCCUCGCUUGGCGCAUCGAGCCCCUUGUGUCCGGUGUUGAGUCUGCCGGAAUGUUUAAAAACCCAACAAUUUCGGUUGGUAUGGUUUGCAGGCCUUCUGGAGGUACUGUGGAUUUGACAUAUUCGAUCUAAAAUUUUGUUUAAAUUUGAUAGCUCGUCGCUGUUGUCCUUAAGAGGCAGGUUUUAUUGUUUGGCCGCGAGCUUUUGAAUCCGGUGUUGACCGCCGUGCCCUUUGGGCUUUUUCUUUAUUCCGGCGCUGAUCUUUCCUGCGCCGUGAUUUUCCGUUUCCAUCUCUGGUCUCGGAUGUACUCGGGUCGCUGGUGCUGCAUCUUGCUAGCCGGCUGUCUUCUCCUGCGCAAAAGCACGUCAUGAGGCUUGUUAGCGCGGCCAUUGUUCUUGGCUUCUCUUGGCCGAGGUGUCUGGCGAGCCAUUCGUCUCGGACGUUGUGUUUAAAAGCUGCUAAGGCUUCCGCGUCCGGACAGUCGACUAUUUGGUUCUUUUUGGUAAGGAACUUGUUCCAGAAUUUGCGCGCUGACUCUCCGGGCUGUUGGGUUAUAUGACUCAGAUCGUCUGCAUCCGGAGGGCGGACAUAAGUCCCUUGAAAAUUUGCUCUAAACACGUCCUCAAGCUCUUCCCAACUUCCAACAGUAUUUUCUGGGAGGCUUUUGAGCCAAUGCUGAGCUGGCCCUUUGAGCUUGAGGGGUAGGUAUUUUAUGGCGUGGAGAUCAUCUCCUCUAGCCAUGUGUAUGUGUAGUAUGUAAUCUUCUAUCCAUACUCCUGGGUCUGUUGUGCCGUCGUAUGCCUCUAUGUUUAUGGGUUUGAACCCUGCUGGAAAUUCAUGAUCCAGCACCUCAUCGGUAAAACAUAGCGGGUGUGCGGCGCCCCUGUAUUUGGGUGUGCCGCUGUCUUUGAACACUUGUCGUGUUGUGUUGCUUCCUGGGGCCCUCCUUUUUGGCCCAUAGAUGGACCUAGUUGGGCCGUCCGUUUUCCCAAGAUCAUAAGUCGGCUUGUGUGCGGCGCCGCUUGUCGCUUUUGGCCUGUCAUCUGGCCGUCUAUCCGGCCAGGCGGCCUCUUUAUUUUUUGACUGUGAGGGCUCUAUGGCUUCCUCGUCAAAUUCUGGCAGCAGCUUGCGCUUCGGGUAGCUCUUUGUUUGAUGGCCAUUGCCAUAUUUGUCUGCGGUCUUGAGUAUUUUGCUCCACUUCAUUCUGAGUAUGUCUUCCGCUGUUUUGAGCUUCCGUUUUUCCUUCUUCAAACUUCUUGCAGUGGCGACGAGUCUUUUGUGAAGGUUCUUAUGCUCCGGUGGUGUGUCCGGACUGUUGAUUGCUCCGUGAAGGGGUUGAUUAUCCGGUUCGUCCUGUUCGGAUGGUUGCUUGGUUGUAUGUUCGUCGUCCGCUGGUUUGCCCUGCUCUAUCGCUGGGUCGUUAGGAAUGCUGCUUUGAUCGAGGCGGGACUUAGGGCGGCGUCUACGUCGCCGUUUUGGUUGUUUAUCGGCGGUAUUAUCCUCUGCCGCGUCCCGUUGUUCCUCGGUAUCGCUUCCCUUUGGGGUGUCCACCAUAUGUAUGUCAUGUGACGAGGUGGCCUUCCAGUGCCCUGUAGGCGCUUGUUCUUGAUCGUCUCCGGCAUCGUCGUCCAUACCAUGGAUGUCUUCGGAGUCGUAGUUUAGCACGUCGGUUAGAUCGUCGACGGUGGCUACCAAGUGGGUGGUGGGUGGGCUCUGAAUUUCUUCAUUGUCCGCGUCCCGACCAUCCUGGCCGUAGUUCGGCCAGGGCUCUCCGGAUAGUGAGAGAUGCUUCAGCGAAUUUAAGAUAUCCCCGAAGGGUGAGUGCUGAAAGGUGUCCGCAGCGGUGAAUUCCAUGAUGGGCGCCCAAUCGGAUUUGACUGGCAGGGGCGCUGGAGGUUCGGAGUCCGGCAAAGAGUCCGGCACCUCGGAGUCAUGAGCUUUAUGCGGGGCAAGGUAAGUGUUCGGCUCCAUCACCGUAGAAGUUGCAGCUCCCGAGGCGGUGUCCAGCCAUCCGUUCUCGAUCUGAGCGAUCGGCUCCGGACUAUGGGUCGGAGCGGAUUCAUGUGCGGCCUCCAAGGUGCUGUCCGGCGGCAGAGUUAGGUCGUACCCAUCGUGACAGCGCGGCACGCUCGGCUGUGGCUCAGAUCCAUCGAAGAUCAAGUCCCCGCGGAUAUCGGCCGUGAAGUUUAGGCUUCCAAACCUGACCUGACGGCCAGGGGCAUAGCUUUCGAUCUGCUCCAGAUGGCCAAGUGAGUUGGCCCGCAGUGCGAAGCUGCCGAAUAUGAAGAUCUGUCCGGGGAGAAAAGUCUCACCCAGGACUACGUCGUUGUCGAUUGAAGAGGCCAUCAAGCCUAUCGGUGACGACACAGAGGAACUCUCAAUGAAAGCACCAAUGUCGGUGUCAAAACCGGCGGAUCUCGGGUAGGGGAUCCCGAACUGUGCGUCUAGGCGGAUGGUAACAGGAGACAAGGGACACGAUGUUUUACCCAGGUUCGGGCCCUCUUGAUGGAGGUAAAACCCUAUGUCCUGCUUGAUUGAUAUUGAUAUUGUAGAUGUUUACAAGAGUGGAUCUACCAUGAGAUCAAGGAGGCUAAACCCUAGAAGCUAGCCUAUGGUAUGAUUGUAAUGGUUGUUGUUGUCCUACGGACUAGAGCCAUCCAGUUUAUAUAGACACCGGAGAGGGCUAGGGUUACAUAGAGUCGGUUACAAUGGUAGGAGAUCUACAUAUCCGUAUCGCCAAGCUUGCCUUCCACGCCAAGGAAAGUCCCAUCCGGACACGAGACGAAGUCUUCAAUCUUGUAUCUUCAUAGUCUUGGAGUCCGGUCGAUGAUGAUAGUCCGGCCGAUGAUAGUUCGGCUGAUGAUGGUAGUCCGGCUAUCCGGACACCCCCUAAUCCAGGACUCCCUCAGUAGCCCCUGAACCAGGCUUCAAUGAAGAUAAGUCCGACGCGUAUAUUGCUUGGCAUUGCAAGGCGGGUUCCUCCUCCGAAUGAUAGAAGAUUGUGAACACCAGGAUAGUGUCCGGCUCUGCAAAAUAAAUUCCACAUUCCACCGUAGAGAGAAUAAUAUAUACACAAGUUCAAUCUGCUGACGUUUUUUGCGGCAUGACGUCACGCCACUACCAAGCCAUUACUUGAAUCGUUUUUUACUCUACCACCUCAGCGCAUUUAGCGAAGCGGUUUCCUUGGCACGUCUUGUCGAAGCAGAGAUCAUGUUCCCCCUUAGUCCGGGAUUCUCAUCAAUACGGACGUGGGUAACCCAACCGCGCCCGUCGCCACGCCCCCUCUAUCGAAGGCGAGUCCCAAACGGUCAUGGAGACGGCUCUUGGUAUUCUUCCUCCUUAUAACGGGACCAAGGCUCGUUUCUUCUCUUCAAUCCUCCAUCGAAUCCUCUCCCUGCUCCAAGUUCCAGCACCUAGAGCUCCAGAUUCAAGCGCUUCGGACCUUCAAUGAUGUCCGGUUCCGACCUCCAGGGCCGGUGGAUGCCCUCCUCCGUCACGGAGGAGUACGUGCUAAAGCUGCGGGAGGCCAAGUACCUGGCUCAUGAGAUUUCGCACAGGUUGCCUGCCGAAGGGUAGGCCAUCCCCACCCCCGAGCCCGGCGAGUAUGUCGUUUUUGUAUCCCACCUCCGUCGGGGUUUAGGCUUCCCGAUGGAUCCUUUUGUGAGAGGGCUCAUGUUUUACUAUGGGUUGGAAUUCCACGAUUUGGCUCCGGGGUCCAUCCUCCAUAUUUCCGCAUUUAUUGUUGUCUGCGAAGCCUUCCUCCGCGUCACCCCUCACUUCGGCCUGUGGCUGAAGACCUUCAAUGUGGCGCCGAAGAUGAUCGGGGGGCGUCAAGCGGAGUGCGGCGGGGCGGCCAUAAGUAGGAGGGCCGAUGCCCCGUGGCCCGCUGGCUCCUUCCAAGAGGAGCUCGGCCCGUGGCAGCAAGAGUGGUUCUAUAUCACCGUUCCGAGGGGCCGCAGACAAAAGCCGCCGCCCUUAUUCCGCCCGGGACCUUCACGACGGUUGAUGUCGUGGGUCAACCAAGGGCUCAACUGGGGGCCGUCAAAGGACGUGCCCCUACUGCAGGGCCGGAUUCGAGAUCUCCAAACGAGGGAGGUUGAUAUGGUGGUGGUAAUGCAGGUUAUGCUGAUUAGGCGUCUCCCGCCCUGCGAACGCCGCCCUCUCCGGCUGUGGGAGUUCAAUCCGGAGGGCCCACGGAUUCUUCAACACUUCAUGGGUAUGACACCCCUGGAGAUGUACAAAUUAUUCUUCGGAUCGCAAGAGGCGCGUCCGGAAUUGACCGAGGAUGCUGGCCUAAGCUGCAAUCGCCCGGGUACUCAAGUAAGUAGUUCCAAGUCCGUACAUACCGUUUGUUUGCCUUCCAAUGAUUCGACUUAUGACCAACUUCCUUCUAAACAGGAGUGGAUAGCGGAAGCAAAAUUUAUAUGGUGUCCGGCCCCCCUCCCCGAGACCGCGCCGGAUUUCGUGCUGGUCCGGAUGCUUGAGGUUGCGCCUCCAGAGGAAGGCGAAGGGGAAAGCAGGAAAGCUACUGCCUCGCCUAAGGAGGCUCUUGAAAGAGGGGGGAUCGAGAAUCCCUCCCUCCAAGGGGAGAAGAGGACUCCCUCCGAGGACCCGGGGGCAAAAGCCCCUAAAUGGGGGAAGAAAUCUUCUCCAGAGGGGCCUGCGUCCGAGGAGGCCCCGGCCGCACAAUCUCCCUUUGAGAAUCAGCCCUCCAACGAGCCGUAAGUAGAAAGAAAGGAGUUUUAUAAUAAGGGACAUCCCUAUUUGUGCUUCUGAGGAUAACUAAAGUUUUUACCUUGUAGUUCGGAUCUCCGUCCUUCGCAAAUGAGCUCGUCUUCGGGGGACCUUCGUCCGGAGAUGAUGGAGAGCGAGAUGCCUCCGUCCGGGGUGCCGUCAGAUAGGGCGGACGAGCCUAAAGUGUCGUCACGGAGAGAGCCCCCUGGUUUGGCAAAGCCGGAUAGUUCGGCGCCAACUGGUGUACGGCUGAAGGAUCUGCUUGAGAAGGCGUCUAUCUCAGAAGAUCACCACGCAUUUAUGAGCAUGGUGAUUGAAAGGAUUUCGUCCGCCGAAGGCGGGUUGCAUAAUGCCGUCAGGAGUUUGCUGGCGGGGUUUGAGGUACGUAAAAAUGACACACCUUUUAACAGUUUUGCAUAUAGAAUGCGCCCUGUAUAGAUAGUAGCCCCUGAGACUCGGUAGGUUGUCGAAAUUGACAGCGUGCCGAGGAUCAAAAUCGCAGGUUUAAAUUUCCGCCGUGCCGAUGCAGGUGGCGGGUCGUCCGGGGGCCAGCCGGACUGAUGGAGUUGCUGAACUAAAGCGGCAACUCGCUGUUGCGGAUGCGGACAUCACGCUGGUCAACAGGCGACUUGAUGAGUCGCAAGGUAAGUGUUUCUGUGUGGUCACUUGGUAAGGGGGCCGUAGCCAGCUCCUUACAACAUGUGCGUGAAAUGCAGAUAGUGCCGCUGCUGUGGAGAGCCUUCGGGCCGAACUUGCUCAAGCCAAGGAGCAGGCCAGAAGGAGUAAUGCGGCAGCCUCGAGGGCGGCCGAGGAGUUAGCGGCCGAAAGGGCCGCACACUGCCGGAGUAGGGAAGAGAUGGCCGAAAUGGCCGUGAAGUUAAAAGAUGCUACCGACCGCAAUGAGGCUCUUGGGAAGGAGCGCCUAGCAGGGCAAGAAGACCUGGAGAAGGCCACCGCCGAAGCCAAGGAUGCCCGCUCUGCAAUGCGGGCUAUAAAGGAAGAGCUGCGCCAGGCCGGAGAUAUUGUAGCUGGCAAGCCUUUUCUGCUGCGCCGAAGGUUUACGGAUCCAAAGUAUGCUCAGCUGGGCCAACUGUGUGGUCCAGAGGACCCUUAUAUGGACUUAGCAGCGAGUGCGGCGGAUGCCGUUGUGCAUUUUCAAAGCCAGAAGGAUCACAAGACGGAAGAGCUGUUUUGGUCUCAAUUCCAUAGUCCGGAGCGUUCACUUCCGUUGACCGACCAUUUGGCCGAGUGGGCUGAGCUAAAUAGGUUGUCCGGGCUUGCUAUGACGGAUAUAGUGACCCAUGUCUGGCCGGAUAGGCCCGAGCCGAAGAGUUACUUUGGCUUAUUGCAACAAUUUCUUGGGGCGGUGCCGCAUAUGAAGGCAAUGAAGCGGUCGGCCUGCAUAGAGGGUGCGCGGAUGGCACUCGCCCGUGUGAAGACACAUUGGACAGAGAUGGAUGUCACCGCUGUUGCGACCCUGGGUUCGGACGAUAACCGGUUACCCGCCGAGCACUAUUUUGGCGAAGUGCUGCGUGGUGCUCGUGUAAUAGAGUCGCAGUGCUCAAAAAAUGUGACGUUCGAGUGAACGUUUUUAUGAUGUAAAACAAUAUUUAUGAUGUAAGUGCCUUUUAUACUUGUGCGUUCAAGUAAUAGAAUAUCUCUUAUGCGGCCGUUCAUGUAUACGUGUGUAUAACCUGAAAGAUGGCAGUCGUCGGCUUCAGCCCCCACGCACAAGGUGCGGGCGUGUUCGCAAAAAAUAGCGCGUUUUCACACAUAAUCCAAUGUCUCGGUCCUGUAAAGGAGGUGGUAGCGUAGCAAAUGAGGCAACCGGACUAUAAUGCUUUAUCACUUUCACUUAGCCAUGGAGUUCGAGGGUGGGACUACGACAUAGCCCCUGGGGGCACCGCGCUCUCCGAAUUUGGGGCGCGUAUGUGCCUGACCGAGAAACGGCCCUUUGUCAAAGCGGAGGAAUUCUAAACAUUCCCAUGGUCGAUUGAGUGGUUGACCAGUCUCUCGCUGUAUCAUGACAGUCAGUUUUCGGCUUUCUCUACUGAGGUGCUCGCCCAGCCGAACUGGGGCACAAUCGCAGUAGUUCUCCUGGUGCCGCGUUAGCCGAUGAUACAGAACGUAAGGAAGCAAAACACAGGAGCCGGGCAAACCCAACAUUUGACCAAAGACAUGAUUCGGAGCUGAUGCGUAUAAGGCCUAACUCGAGACGCCAAACACUCCCGAAGGUGUUCGGUCUUUACAAUAGCGGGCAAAACAAUGCCCUAAGCCCCUUGUGUCCAGGUACGGGCAAGUUCUUCUGGCGCGGCCGAUGCCAAAACGCCAGUCUCCACUCUGGUUAUAAUGAGAAACCAGGGGAUUAUAACAACAAGAGACAGUAAGAAAGGUUUACGUAGGGUCUUAGUCUGAAAAGAGUCCUUGCAACGGGUCCCUACUACACGUCUGCGCCUGUGUCUCCGUUGUGCCGUAUCCUGGACGGGUGUGCACGCUGUUCAUCUGUAAAAAGAGAGGAACUUAGUUUGAAAAGAAAUCGUGCGAGAAAGUGCAUAAAAAAUUGAAAUAUAGAUUAAUAAAGCUGAGCCUAUGCUAGCUCAUCAUGGCUUAUAUGUACAAACCCUUGUGAAGGGGUGUGUGGCUAGGUAGCCCCUAGCUUAUUUAUUCCGGAUGCGUCCAGCCGUGUCCGGGGUCUCAGGCGACCUUUUAAUGAAAUGAUGCCACAUGGACCGGGCAUUUUAAGCGUAAGAGAUGCGUAAUGUGGUAUUGCAUUGAAGCGGACAAAAGCUUCCCGUCCCAGUGAUGCUUGAUAGCUACUUUUAAAUGGGGCGACAUGAAAGGUUAGCUUUUCUCGUCGGAAGUUGUCAGGUGACCCGAACACAACUUCUAGUAAUAAUGAAACUGUGCACCUGGCGUAAGGGCCUGGCGCCACUCCUUUGAAGGAAGUGCGGCUAUGCCGAAUUGUAGUAGGGUCUAUCCCAACUUGCGGAUUGUGUCCGGAUAUAGAAGGUUUAAGUCACUGCCACCAUCCAUCAAAACCUGCGUGAAUUGCAGUCCGUCUAUUAUGGGAUCCAAUAUCAGGGCAGUCUAUCCUGCAUUCCGGAUACUUCUGGACUAAUCCAGAUGGUCCAAAGUGAUUGGUUUUGACAUCCAAUCUCGGUGUUCCGCUGGGGUGGACCGUGCGACACUUGUCUUAGCGAGUGCCGUGUUGGUUUUCCGUACUAUCACAUGAAGUGAGUUUACUGUUUUGACUUCUUGUGGGAAAGUCUUUUGACUUCCGGUGCUCUGCUGGUGGGGUUCGUCAUCGUCCUCACUUGGCGCAUCGAGCCCCUUGUGUCCGGCGUUGAGUCUGCCGGACUGUUUAAAAACCCAACAAUUUCGGUUGGUAUGGUUUGCAGGCCUUCCAGAGGUACUAUGGAUUUGACAUAUCCGAUCUAAAAUUUUGUUUAAAUUUGAUAGCUCGUCGCUGUUGUCCUUAAGAGGCAGUGUUUUAUUGUUUGGCCGCGAGCUUUUGAAUCCGGCAUUGACCGCCGUGCCCUUUGGGCUUUUUUCUUUAUUCCGGCGCUGAUCUUUCCUGCGCCGUGAUUUUCCGUUUCCAUCUCUGAUCUCGGAUGUACUCGGGUCGCUGGUGCUGCAUCUUGCUAGCCAGCUGUCUUCUCCUGCGCAAAAGCGCAUCAUGAGGCUUGUUAGCGCGGCCAUUGUUCUUGGCUUCUCUUGGCCGAGGUGUCUGGCGAGCCAUUCGUCUCGGACGUUGUGUUUAAAAGCUGCUAAGGCUUCCGCGUCCGGACAAUCGACUAUUUGGUUCUUUUUGGUAAGGAACCUGUUCCAGAAUUUGCGCGCUGACUCUCCGGGCUGUUGGGUUAUAUGACUCAGAUCGUCUGCAUCCGGAGGGCGGACAUAAGUCCCUUGAAAAUUUGCUCUAAACACGUCCUCAAGCUCUUCCCAACUUCCAACAGUAUUUUCUGGGAGGCUUUUGAGCCAAUGCCGAGCUGGCCCUUUGAGCUUGAGGGGUAGGUAUUUUAUGGCGUGGAGAUCAUCUCCUCUAGCCAUGUGUAUGUGUAGUAUGUAAUCUUCUAUCCAGACUCCUGGGUCUGUGGUGCCGUCGUAUGCCUCUAUGUUUAUGGGUUUGAACCCUGCUGGAAAUUCAUGAUCCAACACCUCAUCGGUAAAAGAUAGCGGGUGUGCGGCGCCCCUGUAUUGUGAAUGGGAGUGGUUUUACAUCACCGAACCCCGUGGUAAAAAGCGGGUAGCCACACCGGCGUUUUGGCCCAGCCCUCCACCACAGCUCACAUCGUGGAUUAACAAGGGGCCAGGCUGGGGAUCUACUGAUGAAGUGCGGAUGCUGCAAAGCCGCAUUCAGAGCCUUAUUAAGAAGGACACCAGUCUCAUUGAUGUAAUCCAAGUAAUGUUGGUCCGCCGGAUCCUACCUUGCCAGCGACGCCCUCUCCGCAUGUGGGAGUUUAAUCUGGAAGGUCCACAGACCCUUCAGCACCUUUCUGGCACGAUGCUCAGAGAGAUGUGGAAAUUGUUCUUCGGCGCACGAAAACAUUGCCGGAUACUACAAAAUACAUCGGCCUUGACUGCAACCAUCUGGAUACUCCGGUAAGUACUCGACCCCCAAACAUGAUUUAGUAAAAUUAUCCAUGACAAUGUGCUGAUAAAACUCUAUCCGGCCAGGGCUGGCUAAAGAAGGCGGAGAGAAUCAGGUGUUCGACUCCACUUCCUGAAGAUACUGCAGAUCCGUUAUUAACAACGAUGCUGGCUCCGGCACCAUAUCAAGUGCCGGCGGGGGAAGAUAAAGAGGAGGACAAAGAGGCCCAAGGUAGCUUCCACUCUGGGGGCUCACCAGGCAAUUUGUCCUGGGAGAUUAGAACUCCCGCUUCCAAAGGUGGAAGGGAAGGGUGAAUUGACAUCCCUUCUCCCCAUGGGAAGAAAAGGGCCGCCUCCGAAGACUCGGAAAGAGAAGCUUCUAAGCGGGGGAAGGUAUCCCAGUCAGGGGAUGAUGUUGACACGCAAUCACCCCGUAAAGAUAGGCCCUCAGCCGCAUCGUAAGUGAUUCCGGGUGUUUUAAACAUGUCCCGUUCUUUCCUGGCUAUAAGGGUAAUAUUUUAAACUCAUGUUUGCAGUCCGGCACACAACCCUCCUCAACAGUCCUCCUCUUCAGGGGAUCUACUUCCGGAGAUGAUGGAGAGCGAGAUGCCUCCACAGAUCUCCCUGCCUGAUAAGGCAGAUGACGCCAAGGUGUCGUCUCGGAGGAUCCUUCCUGAUCUGCGAGUGGCGCAAGGGACAGUGAGGACUGGGGCCAAAGGUAAUACUUCAGCCACCUAGGGUCCAGGGUGUGCGGCCCAUACAGGGAACAACAAAAGUCCCGGACUAUCGAAUGUCCAAGGGACGCCGGAUACAUUGAUGGACAUUUUGCAACAUGCCUCUGUCUCAGAGGAACAUCAUACCUUGAUGGGUACGGUGUUGGAAAGAGUUUGGUCCGCGAGAAGCGGAUUGAAUGAAGAUCUUUUCUAGCCUACUAAGAGGCUUUGAGGUACGUAGUGUAAUUUCAAUUAUGUUGUAAGUACAAAUUGCACCUGUGUAUAGAUAGUAGCCCCUGGUACGUCUCCAACAUAUCUAUAAUUUUUUAUUGUUCCAUGCUAUUAUAUUACCCAUUUUGGAUGUUUAUGGGCUUUACUUUACACUUCUAUAUCAUUUUUGGGACUAACCUACUAACCGGAGGCCCAACCCGAAUUGCUGUUUUUUUGCCUAUUUCAGUGUUUCAAAGAAAAGGAAUAUCAAACAGAGUCCAAACGGGAUGAAACCUUUGGGAGCGAUCUUUUUGGAACAAAUGCAAUCCACGAGACUUGGAGUGGACGUCAAGCAACAGAGGAGGCGGCCACGAGGGUGCCCGGAGCGCCCUGAUGACCCACAAGUAUAGGGGAUCUAGCGUAGUCUUUUCGAUAAGUAAGAGUGUCGAACCCAACGAGGAGCAGAAGGAAAUGAUAAGCGGUUUUCAGCAAGGUAUUCUCUGCAAGUAGUGAAAUAAGUGGUAACAGAUAGUUUUGUGAUAGGAUAAAUUGCAACGAGAAACAAGUAACAAAAGUAAAUAAAGUGCAGCAAGGUGGCCCAAUCCUUUUUGUAGCAAAGGACAAGCCUAGACAAACUCUUAUAAUAGGAAAAGCGCUCCUGAGGACACAUGGGAAUAUCGUCAAGCUAGUUUUCAUCACGCUCAUACGAUUCGCGUUCGGUACUUUGAUAAUUUGAUAUGUGGGUGGACCGGUGCUUGGGUACUACCCUUACUUGGACAAGCAUCCCACUUAUGAUUAACCUCUAUUGCAAGCAUCCGCAACUACAAAAAAAGUAUUAAGGUAAACCUAACCAUAGCAUGAAACAUAUGGAUCCAAAUCAGCCCCUUACGAAGCAACACAUAAACUAGGGUUUAAGCUUCUGUCACUCUAGCAACCCAUCAUCUACUUAUUACUUCCCAAUGCCUUCCUCUAGGCCCAAAUAAUGGUGAAGUGUUAUGUAGUCGAUGUUCACAUAACACCACUAGAGGUUAGACAACAUACAUCUUAUCAAAAUAUCGAACGAAUACCAAAUUCACAUGACUACCAAUAGCAAGACUUCUCCCUUGUCCUCAGGAACAAACAUAACUACUCACAAAGCAUAUUCAUGUUCAUAAUCAGAGGGGUAAUAUUGUGCAUAAAGGACCUGAACAUAUGAUCUUCCACCAAAUAAACCAACUAGGAUCAACUACAAGGAGUAAUCAACACUACUAGCAACCUACUAGCACCAAUCCUGGACUUGGAGACAAGAAUUGGAUACAAGAGAUGAACUAGGGUUUGGAGAUGAGAUGGUGCAGGUGAAGAUGUUGAUGGAGAUUGCCCUCUCCCGAUGAGAGGAGCGUUGGUGAUGACGAUGGUGAUGAUUUCCCCCUCCCGGAGGGAAGUGUCCCCGGCAGAACAGCUCUGCCGGAGCCCUAGAUUGGUUCCGCCAAGGUUCCGCCUCGUGGCGGCGGAGUCUCGUCCCGAAAGGUUGUUUGUUAUUUUUUUCACAUCAAAAGACUUCAUAUGGGAGAAGAUGGGCGUCGGAGAGCCACCAGGGGGCCCACGAGGUAGGGGGCGCGCCUAGGGGGGGGCACACCCUCGUGAGCAGGGUGUGGGCCCCCUGGCCUUCAUCUUUGGCGACAAUUUUUCUUUAUUUAUUCUAAGAUAUUCCGUAGAGUUUCAGGACUUUUUGAGUUGCGCAGAAUAGUCCUUCAAUAUUUGCUCCUUUUCCAGCCCAGAAUUCCAGCUGCCGGCAUUCUCCCUCUUCAUGUAAACCUUGUAAAAUAAGAAAGAAUAGCCAUAAGUAUUGUUACAUAACGUGAAAUAAUAGCCCAUAAUGCAAUAAAUAUUGACAUAAAAGCAUGAUGCAAAAUGGACGUAUCAACUCCCCCAAGCUUAGACCUCGCUUGUCCUGAAGCGAAAAGCCGAUAACAAUAAAUAUGUCCUCAUGUUUAGAGGUAGAGGCGUCGAUAAAAAUAAAAUACGGACAUGAAGGCAUCAUGAUUGCUUCAUAACAGCAACAUAUAUAAAAUUUUGUCAUAUGAUUACUUAUGUUCUAGUGAUGAUCUUUUCACAAGCCAAAAUAUGAAUCAGAAACUUUAUUGGGCACCAACAAUUAUAAUCUCAGUCAUUGAAGCAAUUGCAAUUUAUCAUAACAUCGGAAAGAGUCUAUGUCAGAGCUCAAAAGCAAGUCCACAUACUGAACUAUCACUUAGUCCUUCAUAAUUGCUAGCACUCACGCGAUACUUUGUGGUUACGGAGUUUUAAUCGGACACAGAGAAAGAUAGGGGCUUGCACACAACCUUUUACCUCAAGGGUAAUGUCAACAAUAAUAAUUCACGCUCCCCCACAUCCAAUUAUAUAUAUAUAUAUAUAUAUCAUGUUCUUUCCAACAUGCUAAGCUUGCCAAAGGAUAAAAUGAAAAAGGAAGGUGAAGAUCACCGUGACUCUUGCAUAAAGUAGAGGAUAAUAAUAAAAAAUAUGCCCUUCGCAGAGGGAAGCAGAGGUUGUCAUGCGCGUUUGGGGUUGAUGCACAAAAUCUUAAUGCAAAAGAAUGUCACUUUAUAUUGCCCCUUGCAUGUGAACCUUUAUUAUGCAGUCCGUCACUUUUAUUGCGUCCACAACAAGUUCGUACAAAGCUUAUUUCUCUGCACUAAUAAGCCAUGCAUAUUGAGAGAACAAUUUUUUAUUGCUUGCACCGAUGACAACUUACUUGAAGGAUCUUAAUCAAUCCAUAGGUAGAUAUGGUGGACUCUCAUGGCAAAACUGGUUUAAGGGUAUUUGGAAGCACAAGUAGUAUUUCUACUUAGUGCUGAGAAUUGGCUAGCAUGAGGGGGAAAGGAAAGCUCAACAUGGUAGAGGAACCAUGACAACAUACUUUAUCUCAGAUGUAAGAAAACAUAACUCAUUAUGUUGUCUUCCUUGUCCAACAUCAACUCUUUAGCAUGUCAUAUUUUAAUGAGUGCUCCCAAUCAUAAAAGAUGUCAAUGAUAAUAUAUCUAUAUGUGAUACCUCUCUUUCCUUAUUACUUCCUAUCAAUUGCAACGAUGGCCAAAGCUAUAUUUUCCAACUCCCAACAACUUUAAAUCAUCAUACUCUUUCUAUGUGAAGUCAUUACUUUCAAUAAGAUCAAUAUGAACUCUUGACUCUUUUUAUUCCUUUUCUUCUAAUCACCCAAGAUCAUGGCAAAAUACUCAAGCCCUUUACUCAACACUAAUUUUUAUUAUAUAGCUCACGGACUCGAUUACAAAGAAGGAUCAUAAAGCAAAAUUCGAAACUAGAUCAUGCCAUGACUUUAUUCUACUAAAGCAAGAUACUACUAAUAAGAUCGAACUAAGAAAAACGAUAAAGAUAGGAGUUGUGAUGGUGAUACGAUACCAGGGCACCUCCCCCAAGCUUGGCAGUUGCCAAGGGGAGUGCCCAUACCCAUGUGAUUAUGUUCCUUCUUUAUUGUUGGUGGUGGAGGUGUUGUUGAUGAUGCAAGCUUGUCGUCCAUCUUCCAAGGCAUAGGCUCACCAUCAUAGAAGGAUGAUUGAGUCUCCAGAAUCCUCAAAUCUGCAGCCAAACUCAUCCUUUUGAAUCUAUAUUCAUACUCACAGUUUUGGUUUUGCAGAUCAUAGAUUUGGGCUUGGAGGUGCUAGAUCUUCUCAUGUAGCUUAUAUAUGGCUUCCUCGGUCUUCUUGGCAUCCGGCUCAUAGUUGUUAGCGAACUCCGCAAGCAUCUUGUGGGUAGCGUUGAUUCCAUGUUCCACCAUCCCCUGGCACUUGAAAACUUGUUGAUCCAUUGCUUCGAGCCUCAACUCCACGCUUUCGGUUCCCUUUGGUCCCUCAACAUCGCGGAUGUGCAGCAACCCAUCACGCAUCUCGAUGUUUUGAGGGUGUCGCAGCACCUCCGCGAGGUAAGGGUUGAUGACCUUCUCGAAAAACUUGUCCUUGGAAGCACUUGGGGUCGUCAUGAUGAUCUAGACCUGUCAGAAAAAUAGCUCGAAACAAGAAUAGGGGGGAUUUGCGUGAUACGGGAGUCAAAACCUCCGGGAGUAUAUAUAAUGAAUUUUUACCGACCAAAAUAUGUAUCGUGCAAGGAAACGGAGUCCGGAGGGCACACGAGGUGCUCACGAGGUAGGGGGGUGCGCCUAGGGGGGUAGGGCGCGCCCUCCACCCUCAUGGAGGCCUUGUGUCCUCCCCAGACUGUUACUUAUUUUUCUAUUUUUCUAAAUAUUCCAAAACGGAGAAUUAUUGCCUUAAAAAAUUGUUUUGGAGUCGGUUUACUUACCUUACCACAUACCUAUUCCUUUUCGGAGUCUGGAACAUUUUGGAAAGUGUCCUUUAUGUACUCCUCCGGGUUUACGGUUUCAAUAAUAUCAGUUUCAACAUUUAUAGGAUUACGUGAGAUAUAGUGUUUGAUCCUUUGGCCGUUUACCACCUUCGGAUUUGUGCCUGCGAAGUUGUUGAUUUUUAUGGCACCAGAACGAUAGACCUCCUCGAUAACGUAAGGGCCUUCCCAUUUGGAGACAAGUUUUCCUGCAAAAAAAUCUUAAACGAGAGUUGUAUAGCAAUGCAUAAUCACCUACAUUAAACUCACGCUUUUGUAUCCUUUUGUCAUGCCACCUUUUAACUUUUUCCUUAAACAACUUGGCAUUUUCAUAAGCUUGGGUUCUCCAUUCAUCAAGUGAGCUAAUAUCAAAUAACUUCUUCUCACCGGCAAGUUUGAAAUCAUAGUUGAGCUCCUUAAUAGCCCAAUAUGCCUUAUGUUCUAGUUCGAGAAGUAAAUGACAUGCCUUUCCAUAAACCAUUUUAUACGGAGAUAUACCCAUAGGACUUUUAUAUGCAGUUCUAUAGGCCCAUAAUGCAUCAUAAAGUUUUUUGGACCAAUUCUUCCUAGACCUAUUGAUAGUCUUUUGCAAAAUUAAUUUGAGCUCUCUAUUGCUCUAUUCUACCUGACCACUAGACUGCUGGUGAUAUGGAGAUGCAAUCCUAUGAUUAACGUCGUAUCUAGCAAGCAUCUUACGGAAAGCACCAUGAAUAAAAUGUGAACCACCAUCAGUCAUUAAUUAUCUAGGGACUCCAAACCUCGGAAAAAUAACUUCCUUAAGCAUUUUAAUAGGAGUGUUAUGAUCAGCACUACUAGUUGGAAUAGCUUCUACCCACUUAGUAACGUAAUCAACAGCAACUAGAAUAUGAGUGUAACCAUUAGAGGCAGGAAAAGGUCCCAUAUAAUCAAAGCCCCAAACAUCAAAUGGCUCAAUAACAAGUGAAUAAUUCAUAGGCAUUUCUUGACGUCUACUAAUAUUGCCAAUUCUUUGACAUUCAUCGCAAGAUAAAAUAAACUUACGGGCAUCCUUGAAGAGAGUAGGCCAAUAAAAACAGGAUUGCAAUACCUUAUGUGCAGUUCUAUCCCCAGCGUGGUGCCCUCCAUAAGCUUCGGAGUGACACUUGCAUAGGAUCUGUUCCUGUUCAUGCUCAGGUACACAACGUCUAAUAACACCGUCUACUCGUUUAUAAAGAUGUGGGUCAUCCCAAAAGUAGUGUCGCAAGUCAUAGAAAAACUUUUUCUUUUGUUGAUAUGUGAAGCUAGGCGGUAUAGAUUUAGCAACAAUACAAUUAGCAUAAUCAACAUACCACGGAGUGCUACGAGAAGUACUUAUGACAUUUAAUUGCUCAUCAGGAAAACUAUCAUCAAUAGGUAGUGGGUCAUCAAGAACAUUCUUUAGCCUAGACAAUUUGUCUGCAACGGGGUUCUCAGCUCCCUUUCUAUCAACAAUAUGUAAAUCAAAUUCUUGAAGCAAGAGAACCCAUCUAAUGAGUCUAGGUUUUGCAUCUUUUUUUCCAUAAGAUAUUUAAUAGCAGCAUGAUCUGUAUGGAUAGUUACUCUAGAAUCAACAAUAUAGGGUCUGAAUUUAUCACAAGAAAAUACAACCGCUAAAAGUUCCUUUUCGGUAGUAGCAUAAUUUCUUUGAGCAUUGUCUAGAGUCUUACUAGCAUAAUGGAUAACAUUCAAUUUCUUAUCAACUCUUUGCCCAAGAACAGCACCUACAGCAUAAUCACUAGCAUCACACAUAAUUUCAAAGGGUAAAUUCCAAUCAGGUGGCUGAACAACAGGUGCAGAGACUAAUGCUUUCUUAAGUUUUUCAAACGCUUCUACACAAUCAUCAUCAAAGACAAAUGGUACAUCUUUUUGUAAUAAAUUAGUUAGAGGCCGAGAGAUUUUUGAGAAGCCCUUGAUGAACCUCCUAUAAAAUCCAGCGUGACCGAGGAAACUUCUUAUACCUUUGAUGUCCUUGGGACAUGGCAUCUUUUCAAUAGCAUCAACCUUGGCUUUAUCAACUUCAAUACCUCUUUCAGAAACUUUGUGCCCCAAGACAAUACCUUCAUUAACCAUAAAGUGGCACUUUUCCCAAUUCAAGACAAGAUUAGUUUCUUCACAUCUCUGCAAAACUCGAGCGAGAUUGCUCAAGCAAUCAUCAAAAGAGGAACCAUAGACGGAAAAGUCAUCCAUGAAAACCUCACAAAUUUUCACACAAAAGUCAGAGAAUAUAGCCCUCAUGCAUCUUUGAAAGGUAGCAGGUGCAUUACAUAAACCAAAAGGCAUACAUAUAUAAGCAAAAGUACCAAAAGGGCAUGUAAAAGUAGUCUUUGAUUGAUCUUUAGCCGAUACAGGUAUUUGAGAAAAACCAGAAUAACCAUCUAGAAAGCAAUAAUGUGUAUGUUUGCAUAGUCUUUCUAACAUUUGAUCAAUAAAAGGUAAGGGGUAAUGAUCUUUCUUAGUAGCCUUAUUUAUUUUGCGGAAAUCAAUUACCAUCCUAUAACCCGUGAUAAUUCUUUGCGGAAUCAAUUCAUCUUUAUCAUUAGGGACAAUAGUAAUACCUCCCUUCUUAGGGACACAAUGGACAGGACUUACCCACUGACUAUCAGCAACAGGAUAAAUUAUACCUUCCUCCAGAAGCUUGAGUAUUUCUUUUCUUACUACUUCUUUCAUUUUAGGAUUCAAACGUAGUUGAGGAUCACAAACUGGUUUGGCAUCAGCUUCCAAGUUUAUUUUAUGUUGACAUAGAGUGGGACUGAUGCCCUUAAGAUCAUCCAGAGUAUAUCCAAUAGCGGCAUGAUGUUUCUUCAGAGUCUUCAAUAAUCUUUCUUCUUCAUGCUCUGAAAGGUUAGCGCUAAUAAUAACAGGAUAUAUUUUCUUUUCAUCAAGAUAAGCAUAUUUAAGAUUAUCAGGCAAUGGUUUAAGCUCAAACACAGGAUCACCCUUGGGUGGAGGGGGAUCCCCUAGGAUUUCAACAGGCAAAUUGUGUUGCAGAAUAGGUUCCUAGUUAAAGAAUACUUCAUCUAUUUCCUGUCUUUCAUUCAUGAACAUAACAUUUUCAUGGUCUAGCAAAUAGUGUUCUAGAGGAUCACUAGGAGGUACAGCAAUAGAAGCAAGACCAAUAAUUUCAUCCUUACUAGGAAAUUCUUCCUCACGAUGUUGUUUACUAAAUUUAGAGAAAUUAAACUCAUGGACCAUAUCGUCCAAGCCAACAGUAACAACAUUCUUUUUGCGGUCUAUCUUAGCGUCUAUAGUAUGCAAGAAGGGUCUACCAAAUAUAAUGGGACAAAAGCUAUCUUGUGGAGAACCAAGAACAAGAAAAUCAGCGGGACAUUUGGUUUUCCCACACAAGACUUUAACAUCUCUAACAAUUCCCAUUGGAGCUAUGGUAUCUCUAUUGGCAAGUUUGAUUGUAACAUCAAUAUCUUCUAACUCAGAAGGUGCAAUCUCAUGCAUAAUUUCUUUGUAUAAGUCAAAGGGUAUAACACUAGCACUAGCACCCAUAUCACAUAGGCCAUGAUAACAAUGAUCUCCUAUUUUAACAGAAAUAACAGGCACGCCUACCACAAGUCUAUGUUUAUCUCUAUCACAAGGUUUGGCAAUUCUAGCAGUUUCACCAGUGAAUUGAAUAACAUGCCCAUCAAUAUUAUUAGACAAGAGAUCUUUAACAAUAGCAAUAUUGGGUUCUACUUUGACUUGCUCAGGAGGUGUAUAUGUUCUAAUAUUGCUUUUACAAACAACAGUUGAAGCUUUAGCAUGAUCCUUCAUUCUAACAGGGAAAGGGGGUUUCUCAACAUAAGAAGUAGGAAUAAUAGGAUCAUUAUAAGUGACAAUCUUUUCUUCAACUUUAAUAGGUACAGAUACUUUUACUUCUAUGGGAGGAUGAUAUUUAAACCACUUCUCCUUGGGGAGAUCAACAUAAGUAGAAAAAGAUUCACAGAAAGAAGUUACUAUCUCAGAGUCAAGUCCACAUUUAGUGCUAAACUUACGGAAAAUAUCGGUAUCCAUAAAAGAUUUAACACAAUCAAACGUAGGUGUCAUACCUGACUCCUUACCUUCGUCGAGGUCCCAAUCUUCAGAGUUGCAUUUAAAUCUAUCCAACAAAUUCCAUCCAAAUUCAAUAGACUUCAUCAUAAAAGAGCCAGCACAAGAAGUAUCGAGCAUAGUGCGAUUAUUAGCAGAAAGCCGAGCAUAAAAAUUCUGGAGAAUUGUCAAUUUUGAGAGCUCAUGAUUGGGGCAUGAAUAUAACAUUGAUUUAAGCCUCCCCCAAGCUUGAGCGAUGCUUUCUCCUUCGUGAGGCCAAAAAUUGUAUAUAUAAUUGCGAUCACGAUGAACAAGAUGCAUAUGGUAAUACUUUUGAUGAAAUUCCAGUUUCAAUCUUUUAUAGUUCCAUGAUCUCGUAUCAUCACAUAGCCUGUACCAUGUCAAUGUGUCUCCCUCCAAAGAUAAAGGGAAAGCCUUCCUCUUAACGGCAUCGUCGGGUAUACCUGCAAGCUUAAAUAGUCCACAAAUAUCAUCGACAAAGCGUAGAUGUUCGUCAGGAUGCUUUGUUCCAUCUCCUGCGAAAGUGUUAUCUAGCAGUUUUUCCAUCAUACCCGAAGGAAUCUGAAAAGCAGUUUCAUUUUCAAUAGAUUCAAUAGGUUCAGUAGGUUGAGGAGCAACUCUUGUCUCAACGGGACGGGGUGAAGAUACCCCGAACAAGCCCCUCAAACAAUUACUUUCCAUAGUAACAAGUGACAGAAAAUUUCAGCACACUAAAUAAAUUUUUCCUUACCAAAUUCCACCUACCAAAGGCGCUUCACUCCCCGGCAACGGCGCCAGAAAAGAGUCUUGAUGACCCACAAGUAUAGGGGAUCUAUCGUAGUCCUUUCGAUAAGUAAGAGUGUCGAACCCAACGAGGAGCAGAAGGAAAUGAUAAGCGGUUUUCAGCAAGGUAUUCUCUGCAAGUACUGAAAUAAGUGGUAACAAAUAGUUUUGUGAUAGGAUAAAUUGCAACGAGCAACAAGUAACAAAAGUAAAUAAAGUGCAUCAAGGUGGCCCAAUCCUUUUUGUAGCAAAGGACAAGCCUGGGCAAACUCUUAUAAUAGGAAAAGCGCUCCCGAGGACACAUGAGAAUAUCGUCAAGCUAGUUUUCAUCACGCUCAUAUGAUUCACGUUCGGUACUUUGAUAAUUUGAUAUGUGGGUGGACCGGUGCUUGGGUACUGCCCUUACUUGGACAAGCAUCCCACUUAUGAUUAACCUCUAUUGCAAGCAUCCGCAACUACAACAAAAGUAUUAAGGUAAACCUAACCAUAGCAUGAAACAUAUGGAUCCAAAUUAGCCCCUUAUGAAGCAACAAAUAAACUAGGGUUUAAGCUUCUGUCACUCUAGCAACCCAUCAUCUACUUAUUACUUCCCAAUGCCUUCCUCUAGGCCCAAAUAAUGGUGAAGUGUUAUGUAGUCGACGUUCACAUAACACCACUAGAGGUUAGACAACAUACAUCUUAUCAAAAUAUCAAACGAAUACCAAAUUUACAUGACUACUAAUAGCAAGACUUCUCCCUUGUCCUCAGGAACAAACGUAACUACUCACAAAGCAUAUUCAUGUUCAUAAUCAGAGGGGUAAUAUUGUGCAUAAAGGAUCUGAAUAUAUGAUCUUCCACCAAAUAAACCAACUAGCAUCAACUACAAGGAGUAAUCAACACUACUAGCAACCUACUAGCACCAAUCCCGGACUUGGAGACAAGAAUUGGAUACAAGAGAUGAACUAGGGCUUGGAGAUGAGAUGGUGCUGGUGAAGAUGUUGAUGGAGAUUGCCCUCUCCCGAUGAGAGGAGCGUUGGUGAUGACGAUGGUGAUGAUUUCCCCCUCCCGGAGGGAAGUGUCCCUGGCAGAACAGGUCUGCCGGAGCCCUAGAUUGGUUCCGCCAAGGUUCCGCCUCGUGGCGGCGGAGUCUCGUCCUGAAAGGCUGCUUGUUAUUUUUUUCUCAUCGAAAGACUUCAUAUGGGAGAAGAUGGGCGUCGGAGAGCCACCAGGGGGCCCACGAGGUAGGGGGCACGCUCAGGGGGGGCACCCUCGUGAGCAGGGUGUGGCCCUCCUGGCCUUCAUCUUUGGCGACGAUUUUUCUUUAUUUAUUCUAAGAUAUUCCAUAGAGUUUUAGGACUUUUGGAGUUGCGCAGAAUAGUCCUUCAAUAUUUGCUCCUUUUCCAGCCCAGAAUUCUAGCUGCCGGCAUUCUCCCUCUUCAUGUAAACCUUGUAAAAUAAGAAAGAAUAGCCAUAAGUAUUGUGACAUAACGUGAAAUAACAGCCCAUAAUGCAAUAAAUAUUGACAUAAAAGCAUGAUGCAAAAUGGACGUAUCACGCCCCCACCCUCGUGGGCCCCUCGAGCGUCCACCGACCUACUUCUUCCUCCUAUAUAUACACCCGUACCCUGAAACCAUCAGAAGCGACCACAAAAACCCAAUUCCACCACCGCAACCUUCUGUAUCCGCAAGAUCCCAUCUUGGAGCCUUCACCGGCGCUCCACCAGAGGGGGAAUCGACCAUGGAGGGGCUCUACAUGAUCUCCAAGGCCCUUCCGAUGAGUUGUGAGUAGUUUACCACUGACCUUCGGGUCCAUAGUUCUCUCUCUUUGAAUCUCAAUACAAAGUUCUCCUCGAUCUUCUUGGAGAUCUAUUGAUGUAAUUCUUUUUGCGGUGUGUUUGUCGAGAUCUGAUGAAUUGUGGGUUUAUGAUCAAGUUUAUCUAUCAGAAAUAUUUGAAUCUCCUCUGAAUUCUUUUAUGUGUGAUUAUGUUAUCUUUGCAAGUCUCUUCGAAUUAUCAGUUUGGUUUGGCCUACUAGAUUGAUCUUUCUUGCAAUGGGAGAAGUGCUUGUCCUUUCCCAGUUACAACAGGGGCAGCAAGGCAUGUAUUGUAUUGUUGCCAUCGAGGAUAAAAAGAUGGGGUUUAUAUCAUAUUGCAUGAGUUUAUCCCUCUACAUCAUGCCAUCUUUCUUAACACGUUACUCUGUUCUUUAUGAACUUAAUACUCUAGAUGCAGGCAGGAGUCAGUCAAUGUGUGGAGUAAUAGUAGUAGAUGUAGGCAGGAGUCGAUCUACUUGUCACGGACGUGAUGUCUAUAUACAUGAUCAUGCCUAGAUAAUCUCACAAAUAUUCACUUUUCUAUCAAUUGCUCGACAGUAAUUUGUUCACACACCGUAAUACUUAUGCUAUCUUGAGAGAAGCCAUUAGUGAAACCUAUGGCCCCCGGGUCUAUCUUUUAUCAUGUAAGUUUACCAUCUACUUUUAUUUGCAUCUUUAAUUUUCAAUCUAUAUAAUAAAAAUACGAAAAAUAUUUAUCUUAUCAUAUUAUCUCUAUCAGAUCUCACUUUCGCAAGUGGCCCUGAAGGGAUUAGCAACCCCUUUAUUGCGUUGGUUGCAAGGUUCUUGUUUGUUUGUGUAGGUGCGUGGGACUUUUGAGGAGCCUCCUACUGGAUUGAUACCUUGGUUCUCAAAAUUGAGGGAAAUACUUACGCUACUUUGCUGCAUCACCCUUUCCUCUUCAAGGAAAACCAACGCAAGCUUAAGACGUAACAAGAAGGAUUUCUGGCGCCGUUGCCGGGGAAGUCUUCGCUCAAGUCAAGACAUACCAAGUACCCAUCACAACCUCAUCUUCCUCGCAUUACAUUAUUUGCCAUUUGCCUGUCGUUUUCCUCUCCCCCACUUCACGCUUGCCGUUUUAUUCACCCUUCUUCUAUUCGUCUUUUCGUUUGCUUUGAUGUCUUACUUGGCUCGUUUGCUUGUUUGGUUGGAAUAGUUGUUUAUUUAUUGCUAAAUAGAGAACCUAAGAUCUAUGGAUCCUCAUCCACUUGCUAAUCUUUUUAAGAGAUCCAAUUAUGAUGAACCAUUUGCUAGUGAGUUCUGUGCACCAGAUUAUCUUUAUGAAGUUUUGCUUGAAAUUUGUGAAUCUGAAAAUUGUGAUGAAGUACUUUAUGAAGAGAUUCAUGAUAGGUCCUUGAAUAAAAAGCAUUAUUGCAAUGAUUUUACUAUAAAUUCUCUUGAUGUCAAUUGUGCUAAUAAUAUGCAAAGCCCUAAGCUUGGGGAUGCUAGUUUUGCUAUGUCUACUACUUGUUGCAAUAAUAUUGAAAGGUUUGGAAGAGUGUCAACUUUAGAUCCCACAUAUUUGGAGAAUAUUCAAUCUUAUGAAAUUUUUGAUAAAAGUGGGUUUGGAGAGGUCAUGACUUUAGUUAAUGUUAAUCCCACUAUUUUGGAAGAGUGUCAACUUCGCAUGCAUGUGGAUCGUGUUGAAAAGAUGUUAUGUGAUAGCUAUUUUGUUGAAUUUGCUUAUCAUCCUACAUGUAAUUAUUAUGAGAGAGGAAAAUAUAGUUGUAGAAAUUUUCAUGUUACUGAUGUCUACUACACAACCUUCUUCUUGUAGACGUUGUUGGGCCUGCAAGUGCACAUGUUUGUAGGACAGUAGCGAAUUUCCCUCAAGUGGAUUACCUAAGGUUUAUCAAUCCGUAGGAGGCGUAGGAUGAAGAUGGUCUCUCUCAAACAACCCUGCAACCAAAUGACAAAGAGUCUCUUGUGUCCCCAACACACCCAAUACAAUGGUAAACUGUAUAGGUGCACUAGUUCGGCGAAGAGAUGAUGAUAAGUGCAAAAUAGAUAGUAGAUAUAGGUUUUUGUAAUCUGAAAUAAUAAAAACAGCAAGGUAACAAGCGGUAAAAGUGAGCGUAAACGGUAUUGCAAUAAUAGGAAACAAGGCCUAGGGUUCAUACUUUCACUAGUGCAAGUUCUCUCAACAAUAAUAACAUAGAUAGAACAUAUGACAAGCCCUCAACAUGCAACAAAGAGUCACUCCAAAGACACUAAUAGCGGAGAACAAACGUAGAGAUUAUGGUCGGGUACGAAACCACCACAAAGUUAUUCUUUCGGAUCAAUCUAUAAAAGAGUUCGUACUAGAAUAACACCUUAAGAUACAAAUCAACCAAAACCCUAAUGUCACCUAGAUACUCCAUUGUCACCUCAAGUAUCCGUGGCAUGAUUAUACGAUAUGCAUCACACAAUCUCAGAUUCAUCCAACCAACAUAAAAGUACUUCAAAGAGUGCCCCAAAGUCUCUACCGGAGAGUCAAGAACGUGUGCCAACCCCUAUGCAUAGGUUCAUGGGUGGAACCCGCAAGUUGGUCACCAAAACAUACAUCAAGUGGCACAUGAUAUCCCAUUGUCACCACAGAUAAUCACGGCAAGACAUACAUCAAGUGUUCUCAUAAAGACUCAAUCCGAUAAGAUAACUUCAAAGGGGAAACUCAAUUCAUCACAAGAGAGUAGAGGGGGAGAAACAUCAUAAGAUCCAACUACAAAAGCAAAGCUCGGGAUACAUCAAGAUCGUGCCAUAGAGGAACACGGGAGAGAACACGAGAGAGCAAGAUCAAACAAAUAGCUACUGGUACAUACCCUCAGCCCCGAGGGUGAACUACUCCCUCCUCGUCAUGGAUAGCGCCGGGAUGAUGAAGAUGGCCUCCGGUGAUGGGAUCCCCCUUCGGCAGGGUGCCGGAACAGGGUCCCGAUUGGUUUUUGGUGGCUACAGAGGCUUGUGGCGGCGGAACUCCCGAUCUAUCUUCUGUUCUGGAAGUUUUAGGGUACGUAGGUAUAUAUGGGUGCAGGGGGUACAUCGGUGGACCUCCAGGUUGCUCACGAGGUAGGGGGCGCGCCCAGGGGGGACCCUCCACUCUCGUGGGCAGCCCGGGACUCCCGUGGCGUGCACUCCAAGCCCAUCAGGUUGGUUUCCUUCCAAAAUUAACUUCUCUAGUUGAUUUCCUUCCGUUUUGACUCCGUCUGAUAUUCCUUUUCCUCGAAGCACUGAAAUAGGCAUAAAACAACAAAUCUGGGCUGGGCCUCCGGUUAAUAGGUUACUCCCAAACAUAAUAUAAAAGUGGAUAAUAAAGCCCAAUAUUGCCUAAAACAGUAGAUAAAGUAGCAUGGAGCAAUCAAAAAUUAUAGAUACGUUGGAGACGUAUCAAGCAUCCCCAAGCUUAAUUCCUGCUCGUCCUCGAGUAGGUAAAUGAUAAAAAAGAAUUUUUGAUGCGGAGUGAUACUUUGGCAUAAUUUCAAUGUAAAUCUUCUUAAUUGUGAUAUGAAUAUUCAGAUCCGAAAGAUUCAAGACAAAAGUUCAUAUUGAUACAAAAAUAAUAAU
rnacentral:lncRNA from 1 species